UCUUGUCCACAGCACGCAUUAUAAAAACAAAACAGUGGUGUGAAAUGCUUCCAUGUUUAGAAGGAGAAGGCUGUGAUUUGCUAAUCAAUAAAUCAGGCUGGACCUGUACACAACCAGGUGGGAGAAUAAAGACAACUACGGUAAGCCUUUUCUCUUCUUUGUAUACCUUUGCGUUCCACCUAAACUAUAACUUUUCACUCAUCAAACAGGUGUUCAGCCAUAAAUCCCACACACAAACACACCAUUAAUAUGUGUGUGGAAUCCAAUAUGCUUAGGUAUCUGUCAGCAAUUAUAAGUUAUGCUUGGCCAUUGCCAUAUGCACUCUGGAACUUGUCGCCUUGCCUGCUGCAUGUGGGGUGGCCUUUGAAGACAGCUCAGAUACUUCAGAUGGUCCAUAGGAUGGCACCAGAGCUUCUGUUGAAUAUAAGACUCUGGAAGCAUGUGACACCAGUUUUAUGUAAGUGGCUAAAUUCAGAGUGGUGCUUUUCCUCUUAUACUUAAAUAGCUGGAUCUGAAGCACCUUCUCCUAUAUAUGUCCCUUUGAGAUGUUGCCUAAGGCAUCACCACUGUUUGAAAUAAGGUUUUCUGUUACUGGAAAUCUGUCGGUUUGGGUGCUAGAAUCUGGAUUAUGAAAGUCUGAGCCUAGAAAGCCUUACAAGGUCUACGCUGUUAGAUUUCUAGGCAUUCAGGGAAGUCAAACCGAUAGCUGGCUUUUUACGUAAGAAACUUUUAGAUGAAAAUUUGAGUUGCUUUUUGAGCAUUCUUGACUUGUUCGAUGAAACUUUUAAUACAGUUUUAUGGUGAUUUUGAUCUCUUUUUUUAUUUUGACUGUAAGCUGUUUUGAGCACCUUCAGGUGGGAAACUGAAAUAUAAAUCAAUUAAUGCAAAUAAUUCAGACCAGGAAAGUUUAAGGGAAAUGUCACCGUAUCAAAUAUGUGGCUGAAAUCAUUCUCUGAGUUAUGCAUUUGGCAAGACCCUAUUGCUGUCUUUACACCUCACUUCCCACCUGAUCCUGGCUGUCCACCAGAUGCCUAAUCACCCUAAGCAGCUUACACAGCUUAGUUUCACUAGGCCAGGACAAUAUUCAUUGGCAACCUGCUCCCCCUUCCCCAGGAAAUUUACUUGAGAUGUACUUCCUUUGAUUGUCAUUCACUCAUGUUUGUAUUCCUGAUCCCACUGGUUCCAUGCCAUAUUUUGUUGCAGAACUAAUCAGUGAAAACUGAAUCAUCAUAAUACAUGAAGAGAAACCAGCAUUAGAGUCUAAAAAUAACAAGAUGACUGUAGUUUGUAAAUUUGCAAGUGUAUAAACCCCUAGGGAUGUUGUAGUGAUUUUAAAGUAAGUCAGUGUCCCCCCCUUUUUUAAGGUCAAACUAGACAUGGGCAUUAACCCAUGUUGUUUGGCCUUCUGUUUUCUUCCUUUUUGUUUUUCACAAAUAAUGGGUGAUCUGGAUUUGGAACAGUGGCAUGGGGAGAGGCCUUAAAACUUUGACUGCUACUGUGGCUUCAUUCAGGAUUGUGCAAUGUGAAGAAGGUCCCCAUCAAUCCAGAGACAUGGAAGUUCUAGACAUGUCUUGCACCCAACUGGUGAAUCACCAAACAGAGUACACAUUCAGUUGCCUGACCUCCCAGGCAAUUGACAAUUUCCUUGUUUUUAUUUCCCAGCACAUAUUUAUUGAGUCUUGGGGGUGUGGAGGGCCUGUAUGUUCUAUGGCUGGUGGAUCAUGUUUGGCUUGGCGUUCACAUUGUACAAGCUUUCUUUUAUCCCUCUGAAGCAGCAGGGGUGGUGAUAAGCAGCAGCAGGAACACUGUGCGUAUUGGGACUAGGAUGGAGUGGGGCAAGGUACAAGCAAUGUCAAGGGAACUCUGGUUUGACAGUGGCAGCCCUGGAGAUGUGUGCAUAUAUUGCCACCACCAAAACUGAACUCACCUAAUCUCACCACUGCCAUGCCCCUUCGUCUUCCUGGUGAGUGUACCACUACCACCAGGAAAACUCUACUGCUUGUCCCCAGAGAAUAUUAUGUACAGUAUCUUUCCCCCCUCAAUGGACUAUUAAUUAUAUGUUGUGGUUUUCACUCAUUUGUCUUUAUUAUGGCUUGAGUUCCACAAAGAUUUGCCCCCCAAAGUAUUGUGAGCUGUGCUUGUUAACUGUAUCAUAAAUGAUCUAGAGUAAGGGAUGAGAAGCAGGGUUUCCUGAUGAUGUAAAAUUGUUCAGGCAAAGCAAAUAGAAAUUGCAAGGAGCUCCAUAAGUAUAGCUCCAAACUGGGUGAAUGGGCAGUAAAAUGGGCAAAGGCAGCUCAAUGUAAGCAAGUAUAAACUGAUGUACACUGGGGUUAAAAAAACACACCCAAUUUUACAUAUACUGUAUGCUGCUGGGGUCUGAAUUUGUGCUGGCUGACCAAGAACGAGAGAGACAUUGGGGUCAUAGUGUAUAACUUGAUUAAGACAUCAACUUGGUGUGUGAUAUCUGUGAAAAAGGCAAAUGCCAUCCAAUGGAUCAUUCAGAAAGGGUCUUAACAACUAAACUUUUAUUUAUCAUAAUGGUGUUAUACAAAUCUAUUGUGUGACUACACUUGGAAUACUGUGUACAGUUCUUGUCUCCUCACCUCAGAAAGCAUAUUUAUAUGUUGGGGAAAGGUACAGAAAAGGGCGUCCAAAAUGAUCAAGGAGUUGGUUCCAACAUUUGGGGUUGUUUAGUUUAGGGUAAAAGGAAGAGCAGCUUCUCCUUUUCACGUUUCAGGGAUAUAACUUGGCAGUGUUUUCAAAGCAAAAAAUGCACUAUUCUGUUGGUGUUAUAGGGGAGAUUAAUUUUAGCACCAAAGUGUAUAUAUAUUGUCAAUGAUCCAUCACUACUUAAUUGUUACUUAAUUAAUUCCUUCUUUUACAUGAUGCGAUUAUAAGGCAUGGAGCUUAACAGAACAUUCAUGCUCCAGUUCCUCAGCAGCUAACCUUUUUCAACUUCUGCGAUUUUACUGCUAAAUUGGCUGAAGUGGGAAAUUAAGGAGUAUGAAGAAGCUAAAAGAGAGCUCACAGUAGAUAAAGGGUGUAAUUACUCUGACACAGAGCUCAGUGCUUGGCUAGUAAAAUUUACUAAGGAUCCAGCUUCACCAAGGGAUGUGACUUUCUUAAUAGAGUUUACUUACACACAGAGCAACUUAGCAUCCCCCACUAUUAAUAUAAAUGACAUGCUGGUUGGGUGGGAAAGGUAAUUUGUUCCUUACCAUCAGCUUUAUUAUACUGUAGUUCGUUUCUACUAACUGAAAUCCAAGUGAAUUUUCUUUUGCUACUAUUCCGUACAAGCCCAGCCCCAAAUAAAUAAAUCUAUGGGCUCAGUUAGAUCAAACAAAGGGAGUUGCCUCCAUACUUACCUCCAUCCUAAAUGGUGGCAGAUUUGGAAAUAAACAGGUUUUUCUUACCAUUUUAUAUCAGUAACCAGUUAUCUGAACAUGGGAGUGGGUGUCAGCAAAUCUGCCAGAACUAUAAUCCUACUUCAAGCAGUGACUUCAGCUGUAAAACGUUUUUUUCCCCAAUGCCAAUUACUAUAAAGGAGCAAUAAUUAUCUCCAUGAAAUAAUGGAAAGGGAGAAAGAAAGAAAAAUGUAUCUGACCUUAAACUUUAUUAUGAAUCAGCAGCUUUUUGCUGGCUGAAAGAAUGGCUACUUCUUGAAAACACAGACAUUUUGGAUUUAGAAGGUUUUAACAAUGUAUUUGGAUGGCAUGCAUAUUUAUGGUAUGAUAAGGUCAAAGCACACAAAGCAUUCAAAAAUCAUAUUGUUAGGAAAGCAUUGUUUAAUGUCUGGAUAAGAUACAAAGACUUAUUGGAAAAUAAAACCCCAAGGUGGCUGUCACCAAUGGAAGCAAAAGCUCUGAAAAGGCUCAAUAUGGAGGCCAAAUGGCCGACAUAUUGGGAAAUUUUGGAGCAAGAAGGAGAUAAAUUGAGAUUGCAGAGUUUUGAAAAAUUAAAAAAUAAAGUGAGAGAUUGGCUCCACUACUACCAGAUAAUGGAGGCAUAUAAUUUGGAUAAGAAAAUAGGCUUCCAAGAGGAAAAGUCAAAAUUAGAAACAGAAUUGUUAGAACCCAAAACUAAAAAUUUGUCAAGAAUGUAUAACUUGCUGUUGAAAUGGAAUACUCAGGAUGAAACGGUGAAAUCUGCUAUGAUUAAAUGGGCACAAGAUGUUGGCCAUAAUAUUAUGUUUGCUGACUGGGAACAGUUAUGGACCACAGGUAUGAAGUUUACGGCAUGUAAUGCCUUAAGAGAGAAUAUUAUGAAAAUGAUAUACAGGUGGUACAUGACCCCAGUCAAGCUUGCAAAAAUUUAUCAUUUGCCCGAUAAUAAAUGUUGGAAAUGUAAAGAAACUGAAGGUACAUUCUUUCACCUUUGGUGGACGUGCCCAAAGAUUAAGGCUUUCUGGGAAAUGAUAUAUAAUGAACUGAAAAAGGUAUUUAAAUAUACCUUUCUGAAGAAACCAGAGGCCUUUCUCUUGGGCAUUGUCGGCCAAUUGGUGCCAAAGAAGGACAGAACCUUUUUCAUGUAUGCUACAACAGCAGCAAGAAUACUUAUCGCAAAGUAUUGGAAGACACAAGAUCUACCCACUUUGGAAGAAUGGCAGAUGAAGGUGAUUGACUACAUGGAACUGGCGGAAAUGAUUGGCAGAAUCCGAGACCAGGGAGAAGAGUCGGUGAAAGAAGACUGGAAGAAAUUUAAGGACUAUUUACAGAAAUAUUGCAAAAUUAAGGAGCUUUAGAAGGAUGUUGGAUAGAAACUAAGAGGUUUUUAGCUGUAAUGCUUUAAGAGACAUGGGAAAAAAGGUUAACAAUUGGGUAAAAGAUUAAUGGUAAGGAUUUGCUGAACCAACAAAUUGAAUUGGAAUACAAAGAAGGGAGGUAUGAGGAGGUCCGGGGAAAUAAGAGUAAGGAAGAUAGGUUAUGGAACAUUAUUGUGUUUUUAACUGUUUUAUUUUGUAUGGUUUUUUUCCUUAUUUUUUACUGUUUUUGUUAUAUCUUAAAACUUUAUACUUUUUCUUUAUUCUGUACUUUCAUGUAUCUUUAAUAAAUAUCUUUUAAAAAAAAAGAAAGAAAGAAAGAAAAAUGUAUCUGAUAUAAGGCCCAAAUGGAUAGCUGUUACAAUACUGGAAGAAAUCUCAGUCUGAUCACACAAAUAUUUGCAUUGGUAUCCCAUACCCUCCCAUACUGAUCAAAACCAAGACACUCGUUUUUUUGGUCCUGAGCUCUCGUGGGAGAGAUUUGUGCCACAGCACUGGCCAAAAAAUGGGACAUUCCAGGAUCCGAUCAGAACUAAGAUCACAUAGCUCUCCCUGGGACAAUGGUUCAAUUACUACUGGUGUGUGUGUUUGAGAGAGAGGGGGAAAGAGAGAGAAAGAGAGAAAAUCCUUCAGCUCAGUUAUAAAUAGGAUGCUUUGCAUUUCUCAGGUUUAAUCCCUAGCAGAAGUGUAGAAAAGACAGGUGAUACCCGGUGCAGAAAAUUUCUUGUCACCCCCCCCCCCCGCAAAAACAGUUUUACAGUGGUACCUCGGGUUACAUACGCUUCAGGUUACAUACACUUCAGGUUACAAACUCCGCUAACCCAGAAAUAGUACCUCAGGUUAAGAACUUUACUUCAGGAUGAGAACAGAAAUAGUGCUCUGGUGGCACAGGGGCAGCAAGAGGCCCCAUUAGCUAAAGUGGUGCUUCAGGUUAAGAACAGUUUCAGGUUAAGAACGGACCUCCGGAACGAAUUAAGUACUUAACUCGAGGUACCAUUGUACGUUGUUUCAAAUUUUCUUACAUAGGAAUGUGGAUUCUGAGCCCCUGAUAACAAGUAGGCGACUGUGGACAGAUACUUAAAUCUUCAGGAUGGGUUGUGUUUUGGCUCCACUGAAUUGAAAGUUCAGCCUUCACAACAUAUGAAAACAGCCAAGUAAACAGUUAUUUUCGUGGAGGAGGGUCAAGAUAUUAACUGAUAUGCAUGAAAUUUCAGAUAUAGCUAUAUAAUCCCUAGUGUAGUAAGAUAAGAGCUUUGGAGCAGGCAUUUUUUUUAAAAAAAGAAGUUUUUUAUGAACCACCCUAGUAGGGCAGUAAUUGUUCCUUGAUAGUUUGUCACCCCCCUCCAUGAUGGUACCUGGGGCGAACCCUCUGCCCCCCGCCCCCCUUCUAACACCCCUGAUCCCUAGUGUUGUUGUUUAGUCAUUUGGUCAUGUCCGACUCUUCAUGACCCCAUGGACCAGAGCACGCCAGGCACUCUUGUCUUCCACUGCCUCCCGCAAUUUGGUCAAACUCAUGCUGGUAGCUUUGAGAACACUGUCCAACCAUCUCGUUCUCUGUCGUCCCCUUCUCCUUGUGCCCUCCAUCUUUCCCAGCAUCAGGGUCUUUUCCAGGGAGUCUUCUUCUCUUCUCUUCUCAUGAGGUGCUGAUCCCUAGUAUCUUCAGCUUUUCUCAUAUACAGCAAACCUUGGUUCCCAAACGGCUUAGUUGCCGAACAAAUCGGCUCCCGAACAUUGCAAACCCGCAAGUGUUCUGGUUUGUGAACGUUUUUUUCGGAAGCCUAACAUCUGACACAGCUUCUGCUUGAGUGCAGGAAGCUCCUGCAGCCAAUUGGAAGCCACACCUUGCUUUUCAAAUGGUUUUGGGAGUCGAACGGACUCCAAGAACAGAUUAAGUUCGAGCACCAAGGUACCACUGUAUACCACUGCAUAUGGUCUCUUAUCAUGCCAAAUUAUCUUCAGUUCUUCACUCUUUUCGUGUGUGUUUUUUGAGUGGAGAUUAGUUUAUAAAGUGGCAUUAACACAAUCCAUCAACCAGUUCAAAAAGAAAAAAACACACCAAAGAUCAGCUAUUACAGAAACAAAUCUACAGAGCGAUCUGUUGAAUUGUUGAGAUUAAAAUGUCAAAAAGACACUUCCAGUUGCUGGGAUAGUUGCAGUAUUAACUUGAACCUCUUGCUAAUCCUAUAUAUUCUUUCAAAUCCCCGAUGCUCUAUAAAAUAAAGCUACCUCUUUAUGUAAUAUUACUUUAAUGAUCAGCAAAGGGUGCACCCAAGUCAAAGUAUGUAAAAGUGAUGAGAUAUUAAUACUAAGUUUGAAAAUAUUAAUCUCUCCCGUUGCCUUUUCUGAGUACAGAUGUCCUGCAGGAAAAGGGUUCUAGCCACGAACUUCUAAUUUUCAUCUGUUCUUCAUCCCCUAUAGGAUUAAGUCGGUUUUCAUUGCACAUGCGUAGAUUACAGAGCCAAUCAAUAAUGCCAGUGCAAACUUUUUGCUCCAAGCUUCUGUUUAAUAGCAUGCUCUUGAAACAUUUUAUUUUAAAGCUUUCCCCUUCUUGCCCAGAAGUUGUCAGUGGGUGAUCAGUACAAUUCUCAGGAUUAGUAAUUAACUGUUACUUAUCUAGUAGCUGGUAUAUGCUACUUAUGCUAAAUGAAAAAGAAGGACAUUGAAGACGAGUCUAGAUAUAAGCUUCCUGUAUAGUUUAUUCUAAAGUUUAUUCGGUUUCUAAGUAUGUGUUUCUUUGAAACUCCCUGUCUUUAAUAUGAAGCAUAUGCCUUUGAUGUAAGGUCUGUCACACCUGUGGAAAAUAUUUCUUGUUGCUAAACCUAACCAGGCAAGCAAUUUUGUCGCAAGUGUUUGUUUUUUAAGUUGUUGGUUUUAUAUCAUUUUGGUUAAUUUUAUCAUCUCUACUAUUUCUAAAAUCUGCUUUAACAUUGUGAUGUUAAAUGAAUGUUAUAAUAAUAAUAAUAAUAAUAAAUUUUAUUUAUAUCCCGCCCUCCCCAGCCAAAGCCAGGCUCAGGGCGGCUAACAACAAACAAAUAAUCAAACAAUCAAAUAAUCCAACAUUCUAAAACAUUUCAUUAUAAAAAUUAAUUAAAAUCAAAUUAAUGGCAACCGUUAAGCAAAGUUCUGUGCAGGUUGCCGGAGGUGGGAGUCAGGCUGGGCCCUGACCAAAGGCCUGGUGGAACAACUCUGUCUUGCAGGCCUUGCGGAAAGAUGUCAGGUCCCGCAGGGCCCUAGUCUGUUGUGACAGAGCGUUCCACCAGAUUGGAGCCGCAGCCGAGAAAGCCCUGGCUCUAGUUGAGGCCAGCCUAACCUCUCUGAGGCCUGGGACCUUCAGGAUGUUUUUAUGUAAAGCACUUUGAAAUUUAUUAUUAUUAUUAAGCAUUAUAUAAAUCGUGUGCACCAAGGCCCUGAGGCCUCCUGCAUAUGUUGAAUAAUAACACCUGGAAAUGGUAUUUUAGGUUAAUGGGCAAAUAAAGGCCACCACUUUUACUGGUUACAGAAUGUGAGUGGUAUUGGCUUAGGCACUGAAACUGAAUCGACUACAUCUGACUCCUGCCUAAAUCUUGCUAAACAAAAGAAAGAUACUCUGCACAUGCUCAGAGGCCUUAUGGUCCUUGACAAGUUCUUGGAGUAAGGCCUGGCAUUCACUGAAGUGAAACUGGCAAGUCUUGCCUCAAAUUUAGCCCUGGAGGGUAGGAAGUAUUUGAUUGUUUUACUAUUUUUAUGGAAGUAGCAAUUGACCUAUCUGAUUCAAAUUUGGCCAUGGUGUUCCUUCAUCUUUUUUUACCUUUAUGCGCUUCAAGGUGAGCUCUGAUCUUGAAGUCAGGGGGUUGUAUCUCAUGCGUCUGUCUACCCAAGGGAGCUUAUGGAAGCUUCAACUGUAGUCUGCUGUGCUUCCCGAAAAGCUUCUCCUGAAUAUUGCUUAUAAUAAGCAAUUAACAUAUACUGAGAACAUGCAGUCUACCCACACCUUUUUAUGCAGCAGAUGGAUUGUGUUGGUGGGGCUGGGGACUACUCCUGUGUGGAUGUACACACGUAGAUGUUGUAAAACACAAUAUGGUCUAGGCUUCUGAAUGCCAGGCCACUGUCUGAGUCAUCAUAAGAAUAUUCUUCAUCUGUUGCUGCUGAAAUGUGACUUUCAAAGUCACAAAAAUUAGAUAGAUAGAUAGAUAGAUAGAUGAUAUAGAUAUAGAUAUAUGCAUUUUAAAUACCACAGUUGAAAGCAUGACCUACCAAUAACACAUAUAAUCCCUUCUACUGCUAAUCUAUGAGCUAAAAGCCUCUUAAGGUUUAAAUUUCUUCCUGAAACCUGGAGAAGAACUACUUCUCAAAGAUCAUUUCAUAACCUUGGAGCCAAAGUUGUAAAGGAUGGGAGAUGUGAAUCCUGCACGUGUCCAGAUGUUUGAAAAUUCUGCAAUUUAGAUCAUCCCUAACCAGCGUGGUCAGGGCUAUCUGCAGAAGCUCUAACAUGGCCUGAUCAGAUGAUCAGAUUGUAACAAAAUGACUAACUAAAUAAAAUGAUGUUAUGCCCAUGAGAGUAAUGCUUAAUAACACUUGAUCCUUAUGAACAGUCCUUUAAUUUAGCUUUUCAGCUAUCGUGGGCCCAGUUGCAGCGCAGCCAGCUUUUAAACCCGGGCCAGUGGACCAGAGGAAACUUUGUCACUCUGGUCCAUCUUCCAAACCCCUUUCGCUUGGCUGCCCCUGAUAGGGCAGUAUAAACAUUUGGCUUGGCAGGGUUUUAAUCUGGCAAUGUGGCUGGACUAGGGCACUUAAAACAGCUGGCAAUGGAGAGCCUACUGUGAUCCAGUCAUAUACCAAUUUACCUGGGAAUACUGAAUGCAAGAUACUUCUGAGUAGACAUGUAUAGGAUUCUGUUCUUGGCUUAUGCCUUAAUAAUUGUAGUUUUUGGUCUGGAUGAACAUCAAGUGUGUGCUCUUAGUAGCAAUCAGUGAAGGAGAAGCCAAGGUUUCUCUUUGCAGGUAUUAGGGAAAAAAUCAAGUUGCCCACGAUGAAGGAUUUUUCUACGUACAUAAUAUCAUAUGUAUGAAACAUAAUAUCAUAGUACAAUGCAGCAUAGAAAACUUCCAUCAGAAAAAUGCUCUGCUUUCUCCAUUGACUACUUGGUUAUAUAAAACACUGGCUGUAUACAGUGUUUUAGGAUGUUAGUAAAUAAUAUAUAAUAAGAAGCAGUUUAUAGAUGUAAAGAAUGCAUAAAUAAAUAACCAUCAGUAUUAUUUUAUGAAGUAGUAUUUAUGUUGGCAUAGGGGCGUGGGUGGCGCUGUGGUCUAAACCACAGAGCCUAGGGCUUGCUGAUCGGAAGGUCGGCGGUUUGAAUCCCUGCGAUGGGGUGAGCUCCCGUUUCUUGGUCCCAGCUCCUCCCCUCCUAGCAGUUCAAAAGCAUGUCAAAGUGCAAGUAGAUAAAUAGGUCUAUUUAUCCAGCAGGAAGGUAAAAGGCGUUUCCGUGUGCUGCUUAGUCAUGCUGGCCACAUGACCCGGAAGCUGUCUGCGGACAAACGCCGGCUCCAUCGGCCUGUAGAGCGAGAUGAGCGCCGCAACCCCAGAGUCAUCCACGACUGGACCUAACAGUCAGGGGUACCUUUACCUUUAUUUAUAUUGGCAUUAAGCAAUCUAUUGUAUAAAACAGGAUUAAAAUAAAAAGUCAACAAAAUAAACAGACCAAAAAGAGAGAGGAAAAUACACCUUACCCCUCAGACAAGCCAGUCCUUUGAACAGCUUGGUUAAAACUCAAUACGAAAAGCUGUUGAGAGCACAAAAUUAGCAUGUACUAAACAGAAAAAGCUAAAUCAGAUCCAACCCUCAUCUAUUUUAAGCUGUAAAGCCGGGUUAGCUCUUCCAGACAUUGCAGGAGUACAGUUCAUGUUAGUCCUUAUGCAGACUGGGGCUGAUGGAAGUUGUAACUACAAUCAAAUUUGCAGGGGCACUAUAAAUUCCCCAUUUGUGCUACCAAACAAUGUAUAUUGAGAUUCCUGCAUUGUACGGGGUUGGACUAGAUGGCUCUCAGUGUCCCUUGGAAUUCUACAAUUCUAUAAUUCUAUGCAUAGUUGUAUUAAAUGUCACUGUGCAAUCAUCACAAUAUCCUUAUAUCUGAGCAAAUGGCACAUUUCAUGUUGGCUUAGAACAAUUUUUAAGGAUGGCACAAAGUACCUAAUGGUGAUUUAGAGUAAGAAGAAUCUGCUUUGCUUAUAGAUUUCUCUUUGUUAUAGCUGCCAAGAGAAGAUUAAAAAAAUAAUGGGUGAGAGGUUAGAAAGUCUUUGAGGCUGACAUGGUAAAGAGAAACAAUUCUCAUUUUAUUCUCAAGAUAUUCAAUAGCAGACAUUGUUCUGUUUAACCAUUAAAACAAAGAGUGCAGUGUGGCUUAAGGUGAUGUUCCGGACCAGUUUCUGCAUUUUGUCCCUUGUAAUUUACUGGCUGUUAUUUCAUUCCCCUCCCUGCCAAACAACAACAGCAACCUAUCACUAUCAAAGAUUGAACAUUGACUUUAUUUUAUUACUGAAAAUUCAAACUUUAUUUCAGAUUCCAGUCACCUGCCUGAGAAAGCCAACAAUGUCAGAAAUCCAGAAUAUUUCAUUUCCAAGCUCUUUCCCCUGCUUGUUAGCUCAGAUUAUGGGAAAUGCUGGUUGAUAAUACCAGAGGUAUCUGUGACAGUAAAUUCUUGAACUAUGAUAAAUGAUGAACUUGGUACUGAAGAUUUCAUUUCAUGAAAUGUAUGUUCAAUUUCAGGUGGUGUUGGUUGUUUCUGUAGAAGUCUAAUUACCACAGUGUAAUUUUACUGCAUUGUAUGAGGAGAUAUGGAAUCUCUGUUAAUGCUUGAUUGGUAAAAGCUCACAAGAGAUCCCUUGAUAUUCCAGUUGCUGAGCGAUGAACCAUAUACUUAAUUGCCUCCCAUGCAAAAACAACACUGUCACCUCUAGUGACUUUUAACUUCAUUGAACCAAGUAAAAUGGGCAAGGUUUGCUGAUAGAAGGGGGCAGGUUGAUAAUUUUGUAAAUCUAAGGAUUUGGGUCUUUCAGUCGAUAGCAAUCCUUGUGGAAGGGUAAAACUUUUCAGGGGUGUCUUAAUAGGACCUGACUUUAGGAGGAAUAAACACCUGGGGAGGGGAUGUAGUAGCAACGCAACCUGUUUUUAUAAGGUUCAAACAAGAAAUUUGCAAGAAACAGCACAAUAUUACUAGAAUAAAUAGCAACAAUAUAAUAACAGCAUUAAACAGCAAGUUGCAAUACGUUUAUCAAAAAUAGCAGCAUGCAGUAAUUAAUAAAUAAAAAUGCCAGUCAUCUAUUUUAAAGGACCCCAAUAUUUAGGGUUGCCAUAUUUCAUAAAGUGAAAUUCUGGACACAAAACCUACUCUAUUUCUCAUCUAGAAGAAAAAUUACUCCAUGUCAUCCCCACCUACCCAUCCCCCAACAUCUAGGGCACUUUAUAAUAUUACCACCCUCUACCUCUCCUUUCCAAACUAAAUAAGAUACCUUCAGGUGUGGUUGAUGGUGGCAUCUUCCAUUGUAAACAUUUCCAGGGAGGUAGUCAUGUUUGGUUCUUGUAACAAAAAAAAAAAAAAAAAAAAAAAACUAUCUCGUGGCAUGCUAAAGCCUAACAAAAGUAUGAAUUAUGAAUGGCAUUGGCUUUCAUGGACAGAUGCACAACAUCAGAUGCACAUGAGAAAUAAAACCCAGAAACAUGAGGAGUUAGGAGUCCAUCGUGGUUUAUUGCAAAGCAAUAGGUUACAGUCGGAUCGUUCUGUGAAACCUGCAACCCCUCUCGGUGAUUCAGGCAGUGGUAUUUAUAAAGUUUCAGACAAAGCAUUUCAGUUUUCACCUAUCAUAUACAUCAUCACCUCAUUUCAUGUUUAACACACAUGCUCAAUAAGCACUGGCAAUUUUGCUGGUUCAGUGUGGUUCCCACCGUAUUCUGUUACACUGUGUUAACAGAAUACUUCUGCGCAUGCGCAACCGCCGAAACCCGGAAGUAACCCGUUCCAGUACUUCCAGGUUUCGGCGGUCCAUAACACAAAAAGAAGCAACCUGAAGCAUCUGUAACCCAAGGUAUGACUGUAAAUGUUGGGAACUUGUGUUACGUGUAGCCAUUUGCACCUUGUAGCAACUUAUGUUCCAGCUUUCGGCUAUAUCUUUGUGAUUAUUUAAUGCUGUACUGUUUUUAACAUUUGAUCGGGAGCCGCCCAGAGUGGCUGGGGAGACUCAGCCAGAUGGGCAUGGUAUAAAUAAUAAAUUAUUACUAUUAUUAUUAUUAUUAUUAUUAUUAUUCACAUAUUAGCUGUAUUCCUGCCCCAUUGCUGGGGGAGCGGGGCAACUUGCAAAAUCAUCAGUUUCAUACAGCAGCAGGUUACCGUAACUUUCUCUAUUAGAAGCACACUCAAGGAUUUCCAGGGGCACACAUUUUCACAUUUCUUGUGGCCCUUUGGGCCACCACCACAUUCUCCCCCCUUCAAGCUUAAAAGUGUGAGAUUACUCGCAACAUUUAGUUUGACCCUUAGGUAACUCAUUUUGAUCCUCCUGGGGCAGUGGGUGGUAUUGCAAAAGGAACUGCUUUUGGGCUAUGUCUGAAAGCAUUUCAGAAACCAAGCAACGGACUAAGGCAAGUUGGCAAGGACUCAUGGCCACAACAAGCUCUGCGAGAUAUACCCAUCCUGGAAAAUGUAUGGUACAUUCAGUGGUCUUGGCAACUCCCAGUAGUGGGCCAGUAGAAUCACUGGGAGGUUACAUUGCUUGAGAGCCAGUUAAUGGUUAAGAGUGGUGGACUCGUAAUCUGGUGAACCGGGUUCGCUUCCCCGCUCCUCCACAUGCAGCUGCUGGGUGACCUUGGGCUAAUCACACUUCUCUGAAGUCUCUCAGCCCCACUCACCUCACAGAGUGUUUGUUGUGGGGGAGGAAGGGAAAGGAGAAUGUUAGGCGCUUUGAGACUCCUUCAGGUAGUGAUAAAACAGGAUAUCAAAUCCAAACUCUUCUUCUUCUUCUUGAAGCAUCUAUUUAAAGGUCACAUAUUGUUCCUUCCAUUUCCCCCAUUGCUGAUUCUGCCACUUUCUUUGCUCAAAGCAGGUUCAAUGAAAUAUUUCACUUUCUUAGAAACUGCUGGUCAGUCUAUGGGGAAGGUUUUCCCAGCUCUACGCAUGGGGAGCAAUGGGAAAUGUUGUCCCCGCUACUGGAUUUCCAGUAGGUUUGGCAUUUAAUCCACUUUGAGAGACGACUUUUAAAGAGGAGUAUAAAAUAAAUGAAGAAAAUAAAUAAAUCCCAGUACACUGGUACAAACGUACCAAACGUGCCCCUUGCAACCCUCACUAAUUUAUUGACUCCUAACUAUAUAAGAGGUCAAAGGAACAUUUUCAAAUUAUCCGUACGAUUUUGCUUGAAUAUUGGUAUAUAUGUUUUUUUCCCCUAACUUUAAUUUGCUCAGAAAUGCAAAUGAGAAGAGAUUGCAAGGUUAGGGAAGUUUUCAGAUGUAGUCAAUAAAGUAGAAAUUAUGCACAAUAUGGACGUUUCCAAAUAGCCAACACAUUACAUUAGCAAAAUUGCAGUGCAGAUUCUGUUAUGCAUUAGUCCAUGAAUAGCCUCAUAAAUCUGUGUCUAGAAAGAAAUGCUUAUUACUAACAAGCAUCUCCCCAAAGACCUGUUAUUUUUUAAAUAAAAAAAACCCAAACUUCAUUUUGUGCUUACUCAAAGAUAUAGGAUAAGCACACACACACCCUUUCCUGAAAUGAAUAUAACAUCAGAGGUUCUCUCGGUUCUGUCUAGAGAAAUAUGUGAUUUAUUUUUUUUACAUGGUUCAUGCUAUUUCAUUAGCAUGAAAAAUGCUGAGUGGUGUGUUUUGACUAAAUACGUUUUCAUUACUUCUGUAUAUAAGUCAUCAGUUCUGAACUGAUUUUGGAUAUGUUUAUAAUGCAAAUGAUUUCCAACAAUCCCAGAAUCCCUACUGUGAAAUCACACUGUACAUGUGAUUUUCCUCAUGGAAUUCUUAUGCAUAUAUCCUUGAAUUUGUAUAUUUUCACCUUGAAUUCAUGUAUGGGGGUUUAAAAUCUUUAAUAGCUGAACAACAAUCACACAAUCUAUUGUUGGUGAAAAACUUUAAAUACCCUGUGCAGUGAUACUUUGGUUGUCAAACUUAAUCUGUUCCGGAAGUCCGUUCCAAAACCAAAGCGUUCUAAAACCAAUGUACGCUUUCCCACAGAAAGUAAUGCAAAAUGGAUUAAUCUGUUCCAGACUUUUAAAAACAACCCCUAAAACAGCAAUUUAACAUGAAUUUAACUAUCUAAACAGACCAUUGAUCCAUAAAAUGAAAGCAAUAAUCAAUGUACUGUACUGUGAACUAAAUAAAACAGUAUUGUAGAUGAUAAAAAUUAAAAUUAAAAUUUUUUCUUACCUGCACUGAUGAUAGUCAUUGUUUGGAUGGGGGGCUUUUAUCCAUUUCCGCAGUCACACAAUCAACGAAUCAAUCAAUCAAUAGCUGAACUGGGAUCCACACAGUCACAAAAACAAAUUAACUGAAAAAGCCUCAAAGCAAAAAACGCAAAAUAAAAAGCACCUCAGAACACUGCAAUCGGAAACAGAAGGCUUGAAUUACAAUGGGGGGGGGCACAAAUGAGCAGCGCAACAGGAAACACAGAGGGACUCAAAAUGGAGCACGUUCGGCUUCCGGGGGGGAAAGUUCGAAAACCGGAACACCUACUUCCUGUUUUGUAGUGUUCAGGUUCCAAGUUGUUCAUGAACUAAGCUGUUCGAAAACCAAGGUACCACUGUGCAUGAUUGAUCCAUCAUUUUGGUAUCACAGUGCCUUUAGACAAAUGGACUCAUGUACACAAUCCUGCAUAUGAUAUAUUACAAUUGUUUGGGAGUCUUGGGCCAUUUUUUAGUAGACCUCAAUGCUGUAGCCACCCAGUAAAUCCUCACUUGGCUGUCCCAUCCCCAUCCUUUUGGUUGGACCAAUACCAGAACCAGCAACUCCUUGCAUGCUGAGUAUAAGUACCCAGGAGACAGACCCAUUCAAGAGGGAAUGAAGGAAGGUCCUUACUCAGCUUGUUUCCAUAUGUGUCUGUCCAUUGGCAAUGGAAGAUACAGUGGUGCCUCGCAAGACGAAAUUAAUCCGUUCCGCGAGUCUCUUCGUCUUGCGGUUUCUUCGUCUUGCGAAGCAUGACUAUUAGCAGCUUAGCGGCUAUUAGCGGCUUAGCGGCUUUAAGAAAAAGGAAACAAACUCGCAAGAACUCGCAAGACGUUUCGUCUUGCGAAGCAAGCCCAUAGGGAAAUUUGUCUUGCGGAACGACUCAAAAAAGGGAAAACUCUUUCGUCUUGCGCAUUUUUCGUCUUGCGAGGCAUUCGUCUUGCGAGGUACCACUGUAUCUGAUUCGUGUAUAUUGUACAUGUCACCAAAUCAUGAUUGAUACAUUUCAUGUAUCCAGUUUGCCAGUGUGCGUUGUUAUAUGGAGACAUUUUUAUUUUUAUUUUGUCAUUGUGGCUAUAGUAUUCAUUUUAUACAGCUAUCGUUUUAAGUUUUAUAUUGUAUCUAUCAAAUAGUUAUGUACUACUUACGUUCACAGGCUACCUUGUCUCCUUUGUAUUCAUAUAUUAUUGAUCAGGGAACACUUACUCUUGUUUCGUUUUUUGUUUUCACUUAGUCGUAAAUAAUAAUUUCAGGAUUGGAGUUUCCAGAGAGAAUUCAAGUAUCUCGUUGCAAAAGUAAAAUGUACGAGAGAUGAUGGAGCCAAUGAUUUCACAAGGCUGCUAUUAAAUAUACAGUGGUACCUCGGGUUAAGUACUUAAUUCAUUCUGGAGGUCCAUUCUUAACUUGAAACUGUUCUUAACCUGAAGCACCACUUUAGCUAAUGGGACCUCCUGCUGCUGCCACGCUGCUGGAGCAUGAUUUCUGUUCUCAUCCUGAAGCAAAGUUCUUAACCUGAAACACUAUUUCUGGGUUAGCAGAGUCUGUAACCUGAAGCGUAUGUAACCUGAAGCACAUGUAACCCGAGGUACCACUGUAAAUCUACCAAAAUUAUUAUUAUUUUCUAAAGUGGAUAGUGUUAACACUUCUAAAGAAACUAUCAGGAUAUGCCUAACAUACUUGGAGGUUUAAUUUCUCCCCUUACAAGUGAUGUGAACUUUUUUUUAAGCAGACUUUAAAAUAAGCAUAUUUUGCGGUAGGGGAGGUUGCACAAAGAUAUUUCUUUUUCUAGCUGCUAUUCCGUAUCUCUGUGAAGCUUUGGUUUUGAAGUUUGAUUGUAUGGUACUUUGUUUGAAUUUCUGCUGUCUUAUGUAUGCGACCAAAACUGGGACAGGUGGGAGGAAACUGUUACAAUGUGAAAGAGGUAUUUUUGAAGCAAGAAACCUGGAGGUUUCUUUUACUAGAUGAAACCAAUGGUCUAAUACUAUAUCCAAAAGUGGCAGUGGUGCCGCCAGAAAAAUAAAAUACAUGCUGAGGAGAACACAAAAGGAACAAACUCCAUUUUGGGAAAGGGCGGGAGAAACAUGUGAAAAGUGCCUUCCCUAUAAAGGGAGGCCCAAGUAUUGGUUAUUGUUGAUGAGCUACCAUAUUUUUCGCUCCAUAGGGCGCACUGUACCAUAGGGCGCACCUAGUUUUGGGAGGAGGAAAACAAGAAAACAUCAUUCUGAAUCCCAGAAGCCAGAACAGCAAGAGGGAUCUGGCUUCUGGGAUACCGUCUGGCUGUUCUGGCUUCUGGGAUAACUGCACCAAGCCUCUUCAGGGCAGCAGGAUGAAGGCUCCCCCUGCCCGAAGAGGCUGUGCAGGGCUAAGGCAGAAGCCAGGACAGGCGCGUCGCUAUGCAGUUCUCCCUCUCAGAGAGGGAGAACUGCGCAGCGCCCCUUCAGCGAAGCUGGAUAAGAAACAGAAGGAGACCCUUCUGUUCCUCCUCUGGCUUCCAGGAUGCUGCGAAGCUGGAGGAGGAACAUCGACCCCUCUCGCUCUCCAGGCUUCAGCGAAAGCAAUGCGAAGCCUCCGGAGCACGGAGUGAGCGCUCCCUCUGCGCUUUGGAGGCUUCGCAUUGCUAUCGCUGAAGCCAAGGAGCCUGCAUUCGCUUCCAUAGGACGCACACACAUUUCCCCUUCAUUUUUGGAGCGAAAAAUAUAGAGUGAAAAAUACGGUAUUUCCAUGGCGAGGCCCCAAGGCCCAUCCCAUUUCUUAGAUAAUGAAACACACAGACACCAAUACUUUGGGUUAAUGGGGCGAAUAAGGCCACAAGUUUAUUGGUUAUAGAUGUGAGCAGUAUUCGCUUAGGUACUGGAACUGAACCAACUAUAUCUGACUCCUGCCCAUCAUGCAGGUAGUCUAGUGAGGGUCAACCACCAAUAGGGGGAGCCCUGUUGAUGUACAUCAACUGCGAGCUCUCCCAGGGUCACCGAUGGGGUCAUGGCAUGGCCCUAGCCCAUACCCGGGCUUUUCACAAGAUCCACAUCCCUGGAUCCCUUUAACAUAGGCAUGUCCAAAGUCCAUUUCAGGGGCCUAAUCCGGCCCACUGGUCAGUUUAAUCCGGCCCCUGUGGCAGUUUAUUUCCUGGGGCAAAAUCCUAAAGAAACCUCAACAACUUCAAUCCUAAAAGAAGCUCAACAACUUUGGGGUAGAAGGUCAACAACCUUGGUUGGUCUUUUGGUCGUCCCCCAUGGCUCUUCACUUCAUCACAUCUGGCCCUCUUUGAAAAAAGUUUGGACACCACUGCUUUAACCCCUUAAAGAGGAGCAGCAGGUAAAAGCCACAACCUCCCCUCCCAAAACCAGGUUUUACCAAUGCCUAACUGCCAAACCUUAUAAAAUUGUGACGAUUGCUAUGAGGCAGGCGAAAACCACAUAGCUGGUGCCAACUUGCCAAGUGGGAAAAUUCCUACCCAGCCCCCUCAACAGGUGACCAACCAUGGUCCAUAGCAAGGCCAAGAUGGCGAACACAUGAAAAUAGGGUGGGAGGGCGGGAGACUGAGCCCCCAGCUGCGCGGAUAUUUAAACCAGGUAAGCAAUGGCCCCGGUCAACCAGAUUGGUCGGCCAUGGGGCAUGACACAGCCAGGAUUCCCAACAACACGGCGGCAUCGCCACGCCCCCCGCUGUACAUGGAGUGUGCUCGUGGCCAGCCUGGGAGGGUGAGCGUUUUUGUCAGAGCUGCUUGCACACUUAUGGCUACUCACAAGUAGCCAUAAGGCAUGGCAUGAAAGUGGCAAUCAUCUUGUGUUCUUUAUUCCUACCCUGUGCUGGUAUUCAAGGCAUACUGCCUCUCUAUAUUAGCAAAGCCAGCCCACCCAUGUGGCAAGGUGAGGCGACUGCCUCAGGCGGCAGGAUGCACAGGGGCAGCAGAUUCCAAUGUAGAUCUUUAUUCUCCAUUUUUUCCUGGUGUAGAUUUUGACUCAACAUUCUUCCCUGGUGGGGAGGGAGGCGCCAUUUUGAGGUACCUUGGGGGCCAAAAUGUCUUGGGCCAGCCCUGUACAUAAGACAGACUUUUCACCUGAUGCAAAACAAUUUAAUCUCCUGUGCUCUUCGCAAAGACUUUAACUUUUCAGUUUCAUAUUUCCCAGACUGUUUGCUUUUUAAUGUUUUCUAUUAGUUUUGUAUUAGCAAACUCUAAUGGGAUUCAAUGAAUUGGAGCUGGAUGGAAAAUAGAAGAAAAUCCACUGAUAUAUUUGUUGUACAGUACUACAGAAGAAAACAGGUUGCUUCUUUUUAAGCAGAAGGCACACUUUUCCUUUCCUUUCCUCUCUUUCUUUUUUUUUUACCAUUGCAGAUGUUUGCAGAUCUGUGGCAUGAGAAUUGCUCAUGGUAAUGAUAUUCCAAAAUAUUCUAAUCAGUGUUUAUUCUGCCACGUUUUAUUUUUGUUUGUGUUUGAAGGCAAGCUGGAUGCAGAAAUCUCUGAAAUUGUAAUGAAGCAGCUAGAUAAAAAUAAAUGACCAAAUGCCUAUAAUUUGAAAAAAAUGUGAUAAAAUCACUGCCAGUUUAUGGAAAGUUGCUUAACCGAGUCUCUGUGUUAAAGAGUUCCAUUUUAUUUGACAACAGAAGCACAUUCUACAGUAAAUUUGGAAAGGCAAGAAUGGUUCGGAAAUUUCACCUCGGGCCUGCUUAGAUAACAUUGUAAACUUUUUCAUGCCUCCAUCUUGACAACAGAUCUUCAAAGUCGUGGAAAUACCAUGACAACUGUCAAACUGGAGGCAGAGUUGUACUUUUUCACGGUAAUCCACACCCAAUAUAACAUUCCGCCAUUUAAGUUUCUGUUGUAAUUUGCUGCCCCAAAACAACAAGCAAGGAACCUUUUUGCUUUUCUUCUUUCUGCUUACCCACGCAAUGCAGUUAAUUGGUUGUUUCUCGCUUCCCCACAAAACACUCCUUAAGGGGACGCUUACAAGAAUGCAUUUGAAAUAAUAUGUUAGUGUUUGUAUUUAAUUCUGGAUUAAUUAAAUUGACAUGGUCCCCAAAGUAUAGUGUUGUGGCUUUAAAAAUACAGCUACACGCUAUAAAUUCCUUUGAGGGUCGUGGAAAGCUCCACCCAUUGUGUGUGGAAUAUGUGUUCUCAGAUUUGCCAACUGUCUAUUAUUUUGCUGGUUCAAUUAAUAAAAUCUUGUUAUGGCAGGUAAUAGAAAGCCAAGGAGCAAUGGAGCCAGCUUGAUAGAGCUCCCCCUUUCCCUGAUAUUGACUCAGUCUGUAUUUUUAUGGUCCAACAAACUUCAUUCUAGUUCAACACUUGACCUAAAAAGUUUUGUCUUGCCUUUAUCUCAGAUUCAGAAUUACCACCACCCACAAAGUCCUCUCUUUCUCCACUUCUGUAAUGCUAUCCUGACACCUAUCACUACGUAAACAAUAUUCUGGCUAGAAUAUUUGAAUGGGAAAGGUACAUAUUCUAUGUAUCCAUGUAUGUGUACAUAACCGUGAUGUUCUGAAUAUCCCUUUCCAUUUAUUAUGCAAUAUAAUUUUAAUUGCUGAGGUGUUCGCCGCACAGGCCCAAAAGGAAACAAACCCAUUCACUGGUUCUAGAUUCAGGUAGGUAUGUUGGCUAUGUUGGUCUGAUGCAGUCGAUACACACACACACACACACACACACACACACACCCCGUAUAUAUUUAUUUGCCCAGUAGCACUUAGUUGGUCUCUAAGGUGCUACUGGACAAUAUUUUUUUUUAUUUUUUCAUCCAUUCUGACCUUUAAAGCCCUAAACGGCCUCGGUCCAGUAUAUGUGAAGGAGCGUCUCCACCCCCAUCGUUCUGCCCGGACACUGAGGUCCAGCUCCGAGGGCCUUCUGGCAGUUCCCUCACUGCGAGAGGCCAAGUUACAGGGAACCAGGCAGAGGGCCUUCUCGGUAGUGGUGCCCGCCCUGUGGAACGCCCUCCCACCAGAUGUCAAAGUGAUAAACAACUACCUGACAUUCAGAAGACAUCUGAAGGCAGCCCUGUUCAGGGAAGUUUUUAAUAUGUGACAUUUUAGUGUAUUUUUCAUCUUUGUUGGAAGCCGCCCAGAGUGGCUGGGGAAACCCAGCCAGAUGGGCGGGGUACAAAUAAUAAAUUAUUAUUAUUAUUAUUAUUAUUAUUAUUAUUAUUAUUAUUCACUGGUGUCAAACCUAUUCACUUUCUGUUUCUGGACGCACUUUAAUCUGGUAAUGAAAUAGUUUUAGUCUGUUUUUCCUCCAUCUUAUAGAAAAAAUGGUUUGCUCACAUACAAGAUUUUACAGUUGCAUCACAGGUGAACCUCUGACAUGGAAAAUGGAAAUAAAAACAAGUGAAAUAUUAAACUGCAGUGGAUUCUGCUUUAGGAAGCCAAACUACACAUGAUGUGGGAGAUCUGUGAAGAUUUCCCAUGUGCAUAAUUUUCUGGGGAGGGGAAGUCCAAUUUGGAUUAUAUCUGCAGCCUUUGAAGAGAGAGCCAGUUGUUUCCCUCUUCUCAUGUUGUUUUCCCAAAAUUGCCAGUUCAACUAAACAUAAAUUAAGUUUAUUUUGGACUUUUUGGUGUAGGAGUUUUCUAGUUCAUAUGCAAAUUCAUUUUCUUACACGUGUUUUUAGCCUGUAGAUGAUUUUGGCAUUUAAGCUUAAAGUUGGGAAAAAUAAGCAAUUCACAUUCCUCUGCUUUGAUAAUUUAGCAUAGUAGGUUGCAAUAUUCCAAGUGCUGUGUGUGUGUGUGUGUGUGUGUGUGUGUGUUUCUGUUUGUUUUUGUUUGCUUGCUUUUGCCAAAGAUUAUUUGAAUGAUCUAGAACUGUGAAGUAAGCAUGAACUGAACCAGUUCAUUUAACAGAGGGACAAAUGUGAACUUGAAUGAGUUCCUUUUGGGACAUGUUUUGUACUAGAACUUUUUUUCUUUUUUUCUUUUUUUAAAUGAACUUUCCAAGGUCUGCUUGACUAUUUGUACUGAUACAGAUUGUGGUAUUUUAGAAACAGUAACUUUACAAGGUGAUCAGUUAUUGAACAAUUUCGUCAAUGCAGUAGACACUAGGAAAGUGUGACAGCAUAGUGUAUAGUAAGUCUCCUGUGUUGAGUGGAGCCAUAAUGUUUUUUGUGUCCAAGUGAAGAAAAAUGCCAUCCUCUAUUUACAUAUGUUUUCCUCUCUACUACCUGUUUACUUCAAGGGAUGCGGGUGGCGCUGUGGGUUAAACCACCGAGCCUAGGGCUUGCCGAUCAGAAGGUCGGCGGUUCAAAUCCCUGUGACGGGGUGAGCUCCCGUGGCUCGGUCCCCGCUCCUGCCAACCUAGCAGUUCGAAAGCACGAAGUACAAGUAGAUAAAUAGGUACCGCUUCGGCAGGAAGGUAAACGGCGUUUUUGUGUGCUGCUCUGGUUUGCCAGAAGUGGCUUAGUCAUGCUGGCCACAAGACCCGGAAGCUGUACGCCGGCUCCCUUGGCCAGUAAAGCGAGAUGAGCGCCGCAACCCCAGAGUCGUACGUGACUGGACCUAAUAGUCAGGGGUCCCUUUACCCUUUACCUAUUUAUUUCAGUCCCUCUGGUGUGUGUUAAACUGUUGCUUGGAUAAAGCAUGCAGUCACUCAAGACUGACAUAGGAACUGUUCUGAUUUUUGUCCAAGAAUACACAAAAACAAGGCAACAGGGAGUUAAAGAGAAGUGAAAAAUGGCAGACUCUAUGCAUCCCUUUCCAAUUGCAGAGCAUUCUCUGCUGUGGCACUCCAGAACUACCUCUCCAUAGAGAGCUUGUUUUUCCCCUACACUACCUAGUUUUUGGUGUCUGCUCCAGACACAUUUAUUUCCCCAGGCUUACGGAUUUGCCUGGUGUUGGAUUUUCUGGUGGUGGAUUUCAUGUACUGUCUAAUUCUAGUUCAUUAUUUUUCUUGAUACAUUGUUUUAACAUUCCAUCUCCUGAAAGCAAAUGUUCAAGAAGCAAAGUGGCAGCAACCAUCUUGCCAGAAGGCCACAUGUUUGCUCGUUCACACCAAACCAUGCUCAACAUUGCAUGCAAACCAGGCCACAGUGUGUGCUAAGCUCUAGUUUGCAUAUUUGCACCCCAUUUUUCUAUGCAUCUGGCAGACAGUUGGUCAGUUCUCUAGGGAAUUAAAACCAUUCAAGUACUGGUGUUCAAUGGGUGUUAUCAUUUUGUUACUUCAGUCUAUAAGAAAUUGACGGUUUUUAAUCUCUGUCUUCUUUGUAGUCCAGCUGCUGGCAUGUGAGUUUGCCGCACAGACAGACUGAUCAAUCGCCAUAUGCAAACAGCAGUUGCUUGUUAAGCCCCCACUGGGGUUUUUAUUGUUCUACCAUUUGUGUAGAUCUUCCCACAGGAUUUUUAAGAGCCUCCCCAUCCCAGUUUUGAUCUUUUACUUUCAAGGGAAACUGAGUCUACAAUCUUGUCAUGAAGCAGAAUCAGAUAUCAGAUUUGGAGGAAGGAGUGUUGAAAAGUUGACCUACUGCUUACAGGGAAAUUUGUUCCCAAGGUUAUGCUAUCUAAGACAACCAUCCCACACUGCUUAUUAUCCUAAAAUAAUACUUGCCUAAGAAGACAGCAGUGUAGCUCCCUUCCUUGCCAUAUCUCUCGCAUGAGGUCUCCAAAAUGUUGUUUUCCCCAGAAGAUAAAUAGUACCACUGUCUUUAAGCAAUUAUGCAUUCAUGUGUAUAAAUAAGGAACAAGGAAAUAAUAAGCUGUCUGCUAAAUAGAAAUCUUCAGUCAUGGGCUCCUGCAAGCCAUGGCUCUAAAUCACAGACUUGUGCAUUACCAAAAGGUUUCUGCUUCAGAUAUUUCUAGUGUAACAUUAAGUUGCCAUGACAGCUGCCUUUUGUUACUGUUUUCUCGGCGUUGUUUUAAUUAACUCAUUCUGCUAGAACAGCAGAAAAGGUAGCUAGCUAAUGAUGGUGUCUUCUCAUCUAAGAAGAGCAGGUGACAUAAUGGAUGUCCAGAUGAGGUUUUUGGAUUACUUCUUUAUGUGGCUGUUAAAUUGUCUCUAGUUCUCAAAUUCAAAAUCCAAAUACAAUGAAGCAAGUGUUUGUGCAGGUAUUUUUACUCCCUGAUCUGAUGUUUACCUAACUUUAACAUGACAGCUAUUAUCCUAUCCGAAAUUAUAGAUUGCAGAUAUUAAUGUAUUUGAAGAACAGAAUCCUGCCUUUUUUUGAAGGGAAACAGUCAUCAUAAUGAUAUUUAAUUAACUAUAAAAUAGAUGCAGAUUCAUCUACCAGCAGUUUGCUAGGCAACAGGAGGGAAGGUCAAAUCCUUAUUCCAUAAAUAUCCAUGCCUGUAUAGUAUAGUGUCAACCCAGGUUGAGCACGUUAAUAAGUAAACUAGUCAUCUACGGAAAUAUUGAUUGAUUAAUCUGGAGGGGGUAUUUAUUCAGUAAGGUAAAGGUAAAGGGACCGCUGACCAUUAAGUCCAGUCGCGAACGACUCUGGGGUUGUGGAGCUCAUCUCGCUUUACUGGCCGAGGGAGCUGGUGUUUGUCCGCAGACAGUUUUUGUGGGUCAUGUGGCCAGCAUGAAUAAGCCACUUCUGGUGAACCAGAAUAGUGCACAGAAACGCCAUUUACCUUCCCGCCGGAGCGGUACCUAUUUAUCUGCUUGACUUUGACGUGCUUUCAAACUGCUAGGUUGGCAGGAGAAGGGACAGAACAACGGGAGCUCACCCUGUCAUGGGGAUUCGAACUGCCAACCUUCUGAUCGGCAAGCCCUAGGCUCUGUUGUUUAGACCACAGUGCCACCCACGUCCCAUUUAUUCAGUAGGCCUUCAUAAAAUAUCUCUUGCCUGUUUUUCAAGUUGUUUUAGUUCUGAUUUGACACCAUACAAAAGAAUAAAUACUAAAAUAUUUCAGAUGAUAUUUCCUGCGAACAAUUUAUUCAACAAUAUACUUCCGCCCUGCAUUUUAAUAGAAGUCUUCACAAGGUGCUUAUGAAAACUAUGAAGUUGUAUACUUUUUACCAGGAAAAUGUUAAAAACAGACCACUUUGACAAGGAUCAGAUUAAAAAUGUAAGUAACUAAGAAUAUCCCAGCCAGAUCAGGCCAAAAGUCAGUCCCAUCCAGCAGUUCUCACAGUGGCCAACCAAAAAAUUGCCCAUGGGAAACCCACAAGAAGGACUUGAAUGCAAUUGAACCCUCCUGCUCAUGACCUCAGCAGCUGCUAUUCAGAGGAAUACUGUCAUUGAUACUGGAGGUAAUACUCUGUCAUCAUAACUAGUAGCCAUUACUAACCUCCUUCAUUAAUUUGUCUAAUCGUCUUUUAAAGCCAUUCAGGUGGGUGACCAUACUAUGUCUUGUAGCAAAUUCCCUAGUUUUACUUGAGCAUAUUUAGGGGGGCACAGAUCAAUAAAAAGCUUGACAGAAUGAAAAAGGUCACAGAGAGGCGGAAAGGGAAUUCUCAGGGGAGGAGAUUUCCACCAGUGUGGGACCAACAUUGAAAAACCCUGUCUUGGGUACCAUGGUUGGCCAAAUACACUUUGGCUCCUGAGGUGAGCCACAAAAUGGCGCUCCACACCACCAGCUGAGUGGAGAUCUACCUCAGGAACAAGAGAAGAAUAAAGAUCUACAUCAGGAACAAAGGGGUUAAUCAAAUAAAGCUUACCUGGAGUGUGUUGAAGUAGGAAUCAAAGGCUAUUGUUCUGUUUUGAAUCACACCAGGCAAAUGUAGAGCCCAGGAGACCCCAGAGGGCAGACCCUUCCAUUUCCUCACUACCGAUAGGAAGAGACCAGCAGCGCCUCCUAUUUGUCAAGACUCAAGAAGCUACUGUUGAGGAGACAGCAGAUCCAGCCUCCCAAGGGAUGAUGAUGCUUUCUUUGGAGGCUGGAUCUGCUGUCCCUGUGGGUACUGCCGCCUGAGGCAGUUGCCUCACCUUGCCUCAGGGGUGGACUGGCCCUGCCUGGAAGCAGCCUACUGGAUUGACUUUAGUGGCGGACUAGAAAGCAGGGCAGGUUCAUAAUGGUUUAAGUCAGCAUGGGGAACCCAAAUGUUGCUGGACAUCACACCUGGUAAUGGGGUCUUCACUUUGCUGGUGCUAAGCAGAUCUGGGUCUGGUCAGUGCCUGGAUGUUUGACUGUGUGGGAGCCACAUGUACACCUGCUUAAAUUCCAUGAUAGAAAAAAAGGCAGAAUAUAAAUGGAAAUAAAAGGAAAUAAGCAUUUAGAGCACGUCGAUAUAGCCAUCCGUUGUUUAAAUUAUCCUUCAGAUAACUUAAACACAAACAUUUAGAGUUUUAAAGGUUACUGCUAGCACUUUAAAUUUGAGUUGACAAUGACUGACAGCUUCUGUUCUUUAAAUUACCAUUUGUGUUGCACAAUACAGUAGCCUGAUUUGUAAAAUUAGUAGCUUGAUUUGUAAAAUUAGCAGAUUUCAUUAUGUGAUUGCUACUCUUGAGCUUCAGUUUACUUGCUUAUAUCGCAGCUAUACAUUUAAACUCACACCUACACCAGCACUGACUUCUGGCAUCGAAUGAAGCUACCAAUUACACAGUUUAAUGUUAAUAAUGUUUACUUUUCCCAUUCAGAUCAAUUGGUCCAGAUUCAAACUUUGGGGCUUCAAAGGGCAUUGUGGGAGUGGAGGAAGCUGUGGAAGGGGUAUGUUGAAGGCAUUGUGAAAAGAUGGCUGGGGCUGUAGAGAAGCUGGGUGGGAAGAUCUGAGGUUUGGAAGGAGCUGUGGUAUGUGUUUGGAGCUAUGGGGUGGAAGGAGCUAUGGGGUUUGGGGGGUGAGCUGUAAAGGGUGGCAAGUGGAGCCCCUAGUUUUACAUGUUAAUCCAAAUCAUUCCAGCGAUGAGAAGAGUUCUAAAGUUCCACCAGGGCUAAAAGUCAUUAUAAAAAAAUAAAAUAAUCUAGAAAAUAUUGCAUAGAGGAAUUGCAUCCUGACUCAUUCUGUGACCUUGUACAAGAUAAUUUUCUCUCACAAUUUCUUGUUCAUAAAAGAGAAUAACAGUGGACACUAUUGACUUCUCCUGCACUUGAAGGCAGGCUCUGGCAGAUUGAGCAAGACCAAUAGUGAGUCCAGUGGUCAAGAAGGUGGUUUCUGCAAGUGCUGUAGAGGGAAGUGAGGGGUAGUUGAGGCUUGUCAACUGGGAAGGUAGCUUAUCUAGGACAAGGAAAGCACUGCUUUCCUUUAGAACACACCUGCAAGUCUGAGAAGAGGGUCUUGUCACCUGGGCAGCCCAGGACCUCCAUACACAGAGCCCAGGGAGGUCACUUCGGUGCUGCUAACACAGUGGUUUGCCUUCACCCCCGGAGGCGCACUCCAUUGUCUCUCAAGACAGAUGGGUGCCAACAGCAUCACUAUUGGGCAGUUGAAACUGUUUAUGUGGAAUACAGCCAUACCUUGGAAGUCGAACAGAAUCCGUUCCGGAAGUCUUUUCAGCUUCCAAAACAUUUGAAAACCCAAAUGCGGCUUCUGAUUGGCUGCAGGAAGUUCCUGCAGCCAAUCGGAAGCCGCAGAAGCCCCGUCGGACGUUCGGGUUCCAAAGAACAUUCACCAACCGGAACAGUCACUUCUGGGUCUGUGGUGUACAGGAGCUAAAAGGUCCGAGUUCCAGGGCUUUCGGGAUCCAAGGUAUGGCUGUAUUUCUUCUCCAUCCUUCAGUAAAAACUGUGUAACAAAAUGAUUAAAAACAAGAAAUACAAGAAAAUCAUAAUGAUUUCAGAUAGGGAUGCCUCUGCCAGUCACUGCCAACAAUCCUGAUGAACCACUGGUCUGAAUCACCAUGUUGCCUUCCUUGAUCUUGCAGUUAAUCUGCGUUUGACUGCAUACUAUUGAAUCAAAUCGUCUAACACAGUGGUUCCCAAUUAGCUAAGCCAGGCUUCCUCAACCUCGGCCCUCCAGAUGUUUUGAGACUACAAUUCCCAUCAUCCCUGACCACUGGUCUUGCUAGCUAGGGAUCAUGGGAGUUGUAGGCCAAAAACAUCUGGAGGGCCAAGGUUGAGGAAGCCUGAGCUAAGCACUAUGGACCUCCCCCCCCCCCAACUUGUUUUUCAAAAGCCAAGCCAUGGACCCCCUACUUUUGAAAUUUUUGAUAUCUUUAUGGUAGUUUUUUGUUAUAUGAAUGGUGCCAUGGGCCCCCCAGGAGCGUUAUGCACAGUCCCUGGAGUCCAUAGACCACCAGUUGGGAACCACUGAAUUGACCAGCAGAUUUCAGUGAAGAGCACUGGCAACACAAUAUGUCGUCAGUAAACUGACUUACUUCUUCAAUAGGAGUCUUGUGGAAUACAUAAACACUAUUAUUUAUUCCUUUGGGCAGAAAAUAGGCCGUACAUGAAUGCAAGCGCGGUAUCUGUUAAUUGGUCCUAUAUUUCAAUAAAUUGUAUGUGUUGGAUAAUUGAGCAGUAUGAAAAUGAUGUGUUUACUUUUUGGUCUAAAAUGAAAACCAAAAAUUGGAUAGACCAAAUUCACAUUGUUUCUGACAGCAAUCAGCAAUAAUGCAGUCCUACAAGAACAUUGCCAUUACCCUCCCAAUGGCUAUUUACAGUAAUUGCACAACAUUACUCUCAAUUCUCCUUAAAGCAGUAUUUCAGAGGACUGUUUUAAAUACGUAAAUGGUAAAUAAUUGAAAUAAACGAGGACUUUGCAUAACUGCUUAUUCACCAGUAGGCUUAAGAAGAAAAGCUUCUGGAGAAAGCCGUGCCCAUAUAUGGUACUUAGCUCUCUAAAUGAAGAGGGAUGAUCUUUUGCAGGAAAGUAAAUCUUGUUUGAAGUUAUAAUCAGCACUGUACUAUUCGUACAUACCCCAGCUUGCAUACAGCAAUAUACGGAUUAAUGGAUUCAAAAUAUGAAUCAAUGGAGUCUAUUGAUAUACUGUCAAUAUGUAUAUUGAUAUAUCUAUAUACAUAUAGAUAUACUGUUUUCAGUGGUGGAAAUAAACAUAACCUGCUUGAGUGUCUCAGAAAUGGCAGGUGUGUUCUUGUUUAGAUUAAAUAUCUGGUUGGUACCAUUGGGACGUGGGUGGCGCUGUGGUUUUAACAAUGAGUCUAUAGGUGACUGUGGAGGCCAAUUCUGGAUCCACACGUCCUUCCACAGUGAGGACAUUGGUUUCCGGGUGGGAGUUGAUCACGGUGUGGGUUUGCCAAGCGUGCCUUCCUCUUAGCACGUUUCUCCCUUGCGUCCUGAGUUCGAGUGUCUUCAAAGCUCACGACCCCUUUGGUAAAGGCUGUUCUCCAACUGGAGCUCUCGCAGGCCAGUGUUUCCCAGUUGUCAGUGUUUAUACUACAUUUUUUAAGAUUUGCCUUGAGACAGUCUUUAAACCUCUUUUGUUGACCACCAGCAUUACGCUUUCCAUUUUUAAGUUCGGAAUAGAGUAGUUGCUUCGGAAGACGAUCAUCAGGCACAACAUGACCAGUCCAACCAAGUUGAUGUUGAAGAAUCAUUGCUUCAACACUGGAGAUCUUUGCUUCUUCCAGUACACUGGUAUUAGUUCACCUGUCUUCCCAAGUGUCUUAAUGAUGUAGUAGUAGCAGCAGCAGUAGUAGUAAACCACUGGGCCCUAUCUGGACCACCAAGCUAGGUAGUUAAGCUUGUUUGGUUCAGCCUUGCAGACAGAUAAAAGAAAAGGCAUAGCUCCUUUUGUCUGUGUGCAUGUAGCAAGCAUUUUGCAAUGAUCAGGAUUAAGAAAAAUGGAUGCAAAGAAAAUGGAUCAAAACCAGGCUAUUUGGAUCCAUAUAUAUUUGACAGUGUAUCUCAGUACACAUCAACAGUCUCAGUCUUUGCACCACACAUCAUUUUUCUCAAAAGUCGUAUCGUGGGUUCUUCACAGGGUCAGACACUCAACAGUGUUCCUCUGAGAGUAAGACACAGCCUUGUACACUAUAUUUAUAUCUGCUUCAAAAUGACAGUAUGUGCAUUUUAAUGUAAUCUUGGUACACCCUGUUCACUUUAUGUGUCUUUGCAAGUAAUACAAAUUAAAUUUCGAAUGCAAGAAAGGUCCUUGACAUUUACUACUGAAACAAUGCUUUGAUGAGGGGAGGGGGUGGAAUCUGCAGCACACCACUUCUCCUCAGAUCAAAAUGGACUGUUAUGACCCUCUUUACAGAAAAAAGCACCGGAUUUACUUUCACACUUCUAUUGUGGAUCAAUAUUCUGAUAUUCAGCCCACACCUUUGCCACCAACAAAAUGGCAUAAACUAGCAGCAAGGAUAGCGGAGGAAAUACGUCUUCUUGCAGCGCUGUAAAAUUGUGCCGCCUUUGGUCUGAUAAUUAUUCUUAUUGGCAAUAUAUUCUCAACUCUCACCACUUAUAGUAAAGGUAAAGGGACCCCUGACCAUUAGGUCCAGUCGUGACCGACUCUGGGGUUGCGGCGCUAAUCUCGCUUUAUUAGCUGAGGGAGCCGGCGUACAGCUUCCGGGUCAUGUGGCCAGCAUGACUCAGCCGCUUCUGGUGAACCAGAGGAGCACACGGAUAUGCCGUUUACCUUCCUGCUGGAGCGGUACCUAUUUAUCUCCUUGCACUUUGAUGUGCUUUCAAACUGCUAGGUUGGCAGGAGCAGAGACCGAGCAACGGGAGCUCACCCCGUCGUGGGGAUUCGAACUGCCGACCUUCUGAUCGGCAAGUCCUAGGCUUUGUGGUUUAACCCACAGCACCACCCACAUCCCAUUGAGCCAACCCAAAUUAUGAGCCAACCCAAAUUAUGCUACUCUGCCUUACGUAUAUGUGAAAGAGAUACCUGUUGCUUCUGGCAUUUGCCUGUCUUCAGGGGCAAAGGAAAGCGUUGUGACACUCAGGGCGGGCGUCGCUACAUAGGGCGCAUGUGCGGCAUCGCUACGUACGAUGCAUGCGCCGUACGUGGCAACACCGCACAUGCGCUGUAUAGCGGUUUGCAGCCAGCGCCAAUCCAGCGCUGUACGGACGGUUCCGGGAUCCUCUGCUUGCAGCUGCAGCCACGAAUGGAUGAUCCUCCAUUCACGGCUGUAGCGGCGAUGGAGGGAUCCCAGCACCGUCCGUACAGCGCUGGAGCGGUGCCAGCGACAAACCACUAUACAGUGCAUGUGCGGCAUUGCUACAUACAGCGCAUGCUGUGCAUACAGCAGUUUGCCACCGAUGCCCCAAUCCUCUGCUUGUGGCUGCAGCUGCGAACGGAGGAUCCUGCACAUGCAGCUGCGCCAGCACGAUGGCUGCUUGCACUGCCGCGAGCCCCCGCGGGGUGACUUCUUGUCACCCCGCAGACAUGGAACCCGGGGCAUACUGCCUCCCACCCCCACCCCCCAUUGCGACACCACUGCCUGUCUUGGGAGACAUUGGAUGAGUACACCUUCAGGGAUAAAGUCAAACUGUUGGAGAGUUACAGUGUCUGCUGUGGCUGUAGAGAUACAAACGGCAUCCUUUUGAGUGCAAGAGAUGCCCCGCCCCGGUAGUAGAAUAAGUUGCACCCAAGAUGGACUACCACAGUGCACUCUACUUGGGGCUGCCCUUGAAGAUUUUUGGAAGAAGAAGGAGAGUUUGGAUUUGACAUCCCGCUUUAUCGCUACCCUAAGGAGUCUCAAAGCAGCUAACAUUCUCCUUUCCCUUCCUUCCCUGCAACAAACACUCUGUGAGGUGAGUGGGGCUGAGAGACUUCAGAGAAGUGUGACUAGCCCAAGGUCACCCAGCAGCUGCAUGUGGAGGAGCGGGGAAGCGAACCCAGUUCACCUUAUUACGAGUCUUAAUCACUACACCACACUGGAGUUUGAGAUACUAGGGAGAUUUGCAUUGGAAUCCCUGCUCAGUCACAAAACGCGAUGGGUGGUCUUAGGCAAGUCACCAAUUUCUCAGUCUAUCCUGCAUCUCAGGGAUAUUUUGCAAGCAUAAAACGAGUGCCAAGCUUCUUGGAACAGAUAGGAUAUGAAAACAAUACACACAGUUUGUUUGGUAAGCCUAUUCUGCUCCCUCUAGCUGGGCAGCACUGUGCUCACAAGCACCACUUGUGGCCACCCAGGUGAGGUACAGCAAUGCCAGUCACAUGCAUCUGUGUCUAAUCGACCUUUUAGCAUGGCAGCACCAUAACUUCUCUAGCUCUUGUGUCUCAAAAGGACCAAUAGGCUAAAGGAAGAUGCAGGUAAUGGCAACUCCAGAAAAACCAAGGGUCAGAACAGAUCGUGGGAAAAGAAGGAGCAAUUCAAAUGAAGUGAGGGAGAAGGAGGAAAGAGCGGUUUACUCAAAGCUAUCUUCCCAAUCCUACUUCUUUGUAGAAGGGUGCUAGUUUUAUUAAUUACUUGUUUCCAUCAUUUUUAGCAUCCAAGGACAUCUGAAAUUGUAAUUCUAUCUAAACCGACCCACAGUUUCCCUUUUCCUAUUCCAUGCUUCUAAGUAAGUGGUUGGAGGGGUGAAAAAAUACACCACCUACUUUUUAUAACCUUGAUUGCAAUGCACUACCCCUCAAGAAAGAAUCAUGGUGAAAUAUACUCAGAGUCGCAAAGUGAUUUCAUGCUCUUUAUUCAGCUCAUAGUGGUGAGGAGGAAUGAAUGAAAGUCCCCUCAAAGUAUCUGCUUUAUAUACAUUAUUUAUACAAUGGGCUGCACAUGAUUGGCUAAUUCCGGAAUUCUACUGUAAGCCAAUCAGGUUGUGGAUUCACUUCUAUCUGGAGCAUGAUUGGGUGGUUCCUGCCAACCAAUCAUACUGCUGCAUUAUUCUAGGACCAAUCAGACUGCUGCAUUCUGAAUCCUAUUGUUCUAGGACCAAUCAGACUGCUGCAUUCUGAAUCCUAUUGUUCUAGGACCAAUCAGACUGCUGCAUUUUGGAUCCUAUUGUUCUAGGACCAAUCAGACUGCUGCAGUUUGGAUCCUAUUCAACUCAGUACAUAACACAUGGGAAUGUUAAGAUCUCUUAAAGGGUCUUCAGAUAUCUUGUAAACAGUCUGUGUGGUUAGAGGUGCCAGGGAUCAAAGGUGCAUGCAUAUAUUUCUAUGAGACACCUUCCAGAAUAUAAUAGUCAGCGCAAAGUCAAAGAAGAGAGGUGAAAAACCAAUGAGGCAUUAUAUGACAGUAGCCUCACAUUUUUAAAAAUAGCAGGGUCCCUACAAACAGACCAGUAAGUGGUGUUUCAUGGACUGGAGUCAUAUAGGCAUCAGCAAAUAUAUAUGAUGGGAAAUCAGUCUGAUUAUUUUAGAAAUACGGGCUGCAUCAACCUUUAAUAAGUCAUGUUUUGAAACAUUUUAGGGAUUGCCUAGCUAUGUAUGGAAACAGAAUGGUUUUCUUUUCUUUGGGUUAUGCCUGACUGACUGACUUAAAUACCGAACCAGCUGCAUGUGAACAUGAGUAAUUCUAAAGCUUGCAGCAGAGGGAUGUAAAGUGGAAAACACGUGUCAGCUCUUCUUGCAAAAUCUGUAAAUUAUAGCAACAAUAAAACGAUUUCUUAAGCAUAUUUUCCAGCUUAGUAUUCACCACUGUUUUAUUUGAUGUGGCACUUCAAAAUGCUCUUUCAUUUCUGGAUUAAAAUAAUAGGAUAACAGCAGCUUUUGGCUACCUGACAAAAUUUUUAAAUGUGCAACAGCCCGAUUGAUUGUCGCACUUGCCCAUUUCUUUAAUUCCAGGAAGAGUCAAGUCUUCCUUUUUCUUAUGUUACAAGGAUUUCCCCAUCUCAACUAAAUACUCUGUUUGCUACUCUGAAGUAGUUGUAGCUCUGGUGCUGGUAAUGUCAGCUUAUUUAAAUCAGUCUGCUCUCAAGAGUUGUAUAACUGGGAGCCUUUAAUACUGCAGUACCAGGGAAGUACCAGUACUGGCUGGUACUACAACAUCCCUGGGAUCCACAUAAGCAGGUCUGAACUUUGCUUUGCAGAGGAGGAGUGGGGUGGGGGGGGUCAAAUAGUGUCUUGUGGUCAUGCAUUAAAUGUCCUCAUUUGUUAAUACUUUUUUUUCCUGAACAUAUGUAAUAUCUGCAUUCAUCAAGCAGAGCAGAGAGAACAAAAAAAUUCAGGAGUGAAGUCCUUUCCCCCCCAAAAAGCAUAAACUACAAUUAACAAUGACAGCAUGUAAUAAUUCAUUAUAUAUCUUUAGCAAGAAAAUAAUAUCUUUAGCAAGAAAAUAAGAAGGGAGAAUAGAAUGAAGUCAUUUCAGAAAAUAAACUGUGAACGAAAGCCAAGCUGUCCAAGCCUUGAAAACAAAAACAAAGAACAGUCUUUGAAAUUCUAUGGUGCAAGACCUCUGCAAGCUAUUUCAGAUUUUAGAUCCAAUGUUCGGCAUGAUCUCCUGCAAUCUGAAUAUUUUAUUAAGUGUGAUCACCUUUGACACAAAAAUCCACUUUGAUCCUUCCAAACAUUCACUUAGGUACUGACAGAAAGCUUUUUGAAUAUUAACUUGGUUGUAGACCAUUUGUUCAGCACUGAUAGCGGCAGUAGAACAUCUUAAAACUGAUCUAUAGCUGGGGCCCAAGGAUCUAAUUGCUGGUGUAGAGGUGGUGUAGGACCUCGAUGAACAAUCACUGGAUUCCAUAGCUGAUCUACACAUUUCAAUUACAUUUAAUUAACAAGCUACCAAUUCCUGUAGCUCACAGUGUUGCACCUCUCAGUGCUCCUUCCAACAUUCAGAAUUGCCAACAAAGAAUACUUGCAAUACCAAUAUGCAUUUUCUCUUCUCUUCCUAUUGGUUCAAAUGGUCCAGGAACCCAUACAGGAUAUCAGUCUCUGACAAUCUUUGAAAAUUCCAGUAUGCAGAAGCACAGUCCUAGAGAGAAAAUUUGAGUGGGCAUAAUUAUUUCCUAACCUUUAUUAGGUUAUUCUAUUUAAGCCCUGCAGUUCAAAGUUUCAAGUAAGUGCCCUACAAAAUAAUAACCCACAUUCUCAAAGCAACACAACUAUUGGCACAAGGUGACUCCAUACGUUUUGUAAGAUUACUCCUAAAUGGAAAUUAAUUUACUAAGUAGAAACUCUUAGGAAGGUUAGUUGAAGGGAAAGCGAUUAAAAACAGAGAAAUGUGUCAACAUGGCGCCUAAAAAAAUGAAGAUCCUUUUCUCUGAACAUGAACGACUUUACAAAUCUGAGAAAUUUUCUUACUCCAAUUACCGAUAUAUAUAUAUAUUAAAUUGUAAUGAAUGUAUGGAGAUUAUUGUCCUGUUAAACCAUGGGUAAGUGUUUACAGAGAUAAACUAAAGCAAGCCUUGUCCUUACAUGUCCCCCUCCAACUCCUGCCCCUUCUCAGCCAGAAGCACCUUGUGUUGAAUGCUAAACUUUCCCAAACCAUAAAGGUAAAGGUAAAGGGACCCCUGACCAUUAGGUCCAGUCCUGACCGACUCUGGGGUUGCAGCGCUCAUCUUGCUUUAUUGGCCGAGGGAGCCGGCGUUUGUCCGCAGACAGCUUCCAGGUCAUGUGGCCAGCAUGACUCUGGCGAACCAGAGCAGCGCACGGAAAUGCCGUUUACCUUCCUGCCGGAGCGGUACCUAUUUAUCUACUUGCACUUUGAUGUGCUUUCAAACUGCUAGGUUGGCAGGAGCUGGGAUCGAGCAACGGGAGCUCACCCCGUUGCGGGGAUUCAAACCGCCGACCUUCUGAUCGGCAAGCCCUAGGCUCUGUGGUUUAACCCACAGUGCCACCCACAUCCCUUUACCAAACCAUAAUUUGUAUCAAAUAGGUUAGUGGAAACAAACUUGCUUCAAACCAUGGCUAUGAGCAGAGAGCUUGUUUUUGCUAACCAUGGUUAAGACUGACAGUAGUUUAGGGUUUGGGCCUGAUGCUAAACAGUGGUAAAUUUAAAACAAAUGUGAAAGCUUCUGAUCUGCUCUGACUACACGAGAAAAAGUGAGAGGUUGGGAAGAGUCAGGAAGGAAAGCCAGAGGCAACCAUUUUCCCAGGACAGGUUUAUUCACCUUUAGGCCUUUUCUGUACAUCCUUGUUUAUCCUGCUUCAAGUUGUCCAUGAUUUGAAAUUUCUGCUUCUUUCCCAAAAAGUUUGUGCAUAUUAGUGCAAUUAAAUUUUUAAUGUAACUCAACUGCAUUACAUUAGGUUUGUUUGUGGAACAAACUCUCCCGUAGACAAUUAAAACAAUAUAGAUAGUUGCUGCAUUUGCAGAGUAUAGACAAAAGCUCUUUUCUAUCCUCUGCAGUUACACAGCUAGCACAGGGAAUUUAUUUAGCUAACCAAGCGCAACUCCAGAGCUGUGCUGACAUAGGGAUCUAUGCAGGUGCAAAAACAAGAGGAUAUAUAUAUAUAAGCAACAAUAAUGUCCAGCAUCAUUAGAAACAGACUCCAAUGAAAACUAAAUGCUUGCCAAAUGGAAAAACAAAUGCAUUUUAAAGCAUCUGAUAAAUUAUUGCAGGCAGGGAGGAAAAUAAAACUAUUAAAAUGUAAUUCGGAAUGUAAUUAAAAUGUACAUUGUUGCAGACUACCAGUGCUAAAUUGAGUAAUUUAACUAAGGAAGCAAGUAAAGAUGAUGGAUUUUUUUGUGGCAUUCUCUCUUCAGUCUAAACAUUAAGAAGUUCUUCUCUCAGUUACAUUGAUGUAAUUGGAAUACAUAUAUUUAGCUAGCAUUCCACAGGCAAAAAGCAACAAUACCAUGAAGCCAACCCACACCAUAUUAAUUGGUUUAAGAUGCCUCAUUAUUUUCACAUAAAGUAUAUUUUGGCAUGCUUUUAGAAAACAAUCUAGGGUAAUCUCUUUACAUCUUGCUCUGAAAAGCUGGUGGUUGCUAGAUCAAGUUCUCCAAUAAUAUUAAUAUAUAAAACAGGGCCUCUCAGCCAUAUUAACUCUUGCAAUGUCAGGGGAAAUACUCUCUUUAACACCUCUCUUAUUGCCAUUACUCUGACCUCAAUAAUGUGACCCAUUUGAUUCACUGGCCCACUUCAGGCAAAGAUAACUCAUUUUUUAAAAGCCAAGAGGAGGUAAGGUAAAGGUAAAGGACCCCAUGGCAGUUAAGUCCAGUCAAAAUUGACUAUGGGGUUGUGGCGCUCAUCUCGCUUCAGGCCGAGGGAGCCGGCAUUUGUCCUUCAGACAACUUCCGGGUCAUGUGGCCAGCAUGACUAAACUGCUUCUGGUGCAACAGGACACUGUGACAAGUGCCAGAGUGCGUGGAAACACCAUUUACCUUCCCGCCACACUGGUACCUAUUUAUCUACUUGCGCUGGUGUGCUUUCGAACUGCUAGGUUGGCAGAAGCUGGGACAGAGCAAUGGGGGCUCACCCCGUCAUGGGAAUUCGAACCACCGACCUUCCGAUCAGCAAGCCCAAGAGGCUCAUUGGUUUAGACCACAACGCCACCUGCUCCCAUCCUUUUGCUCCUCCCUCCACAGCCUAAUUAACUCUAGUUCCUUCUUUCAUCAGAAAGACUAGUUCCAAAGCUGGUAACAAUGGUUUUCUGGUAAGACUUUGGUUUGUUAGGGACGUCAUGAAUUAAUCAUGGCUCAUGUGAACAGAGCUGUAUCCUGUUCCUUUGCUCCGACAAAAUGAUCAUUUGUAUAUUGGCUCGUUGAGAUAUUAUAAUCUAAAGCGAGCCACAGAGAGCCAUUGCAAAGGUAAAUGAAUGUGUACAUGAAACCACCAUAAAUUGAUCACCACAGCGCAUUUCCAUCAGCAGUCCAUUAAAUCAUAACUACAUUUACAAGACCGUUUGUGGUUAUUUUUAAAACAUUUGCUCAUUAUGAACAUCAAGGAUACUUUAAAAAUAUAGCAAUAACUAUCUUUGAAGUCAUGUUCAUUCAGGGAGUGAGAAAGUAUUUUGGCACAGUUCCCAGAGCACUGCAGAGUUAGUUGGUGUGUAAGACAUUGUCCCAUGGGAAGAAAUUGUAAGGCUGAAUCACUGUGUUUUAAUUCUUAGCAAUUGUUCUUGCAUGGUCAAGGGGACAUAUGGCAGUAGUGCUCCUAUUUAUUACUUACUGCUACAGCCAUUGGCAGUGAGCCCAUUUCUAUUAGUCAUCAAUACUCAAUGCUUUUAAGCUGUUAUUUUAAGUCGAGUACCAACUUAACCAAACAAUGAGUCUAUACCAAGCCUCAACAGUAAAUCGACUUAGCCAAAGUGGAUGGUCACUGACUUGCUCAAAGAGAUCUCUGAACAAUUUAACGCCACGUCAUUAAACUAUGGAAUUUGCAAUCACAAGGUGAUGUGAUGGCAUUUGAAGAUAACUUUUAAAAAGGGGUAUUAGACUAAUCAGUGAAAGAUACGUCUAUCAAUGGCUGCUAGUCAUGGUAGCUAUAUACUACCUCUGGGAAAGAAGAGUUGGAGAGGGCUAGUACUCUUCUUGGCUUCCUUAGAUACAGCUUGGUCAGCCACUGUUGGAGGAUGGAUGGCGGCUAACGGAUUGAGGUUGAAUCCUGACAAGACAGAAGUACUGGGGGGACAGGGGGCGGGCGGGUGUGGAGGACUCCCUGGUCCUGAAUGGGGCAACUGUGCUCCUGAAGGAGCAGGUGCGCAGCCUGGGAGUCAUUAUGGACUCACAGCUGUCCAUGGAGGGGCAGGUCAAUUCUGUGUCCAGGGCAGCUGUCUACCAGCUCCAUCUGGUACGCAGGCUGAGACCCUACCUGCCCGCAGACUGUCUCACCAGAGUGGUGCAUGCUCUGGUUAUCUCCCUCUUGGACUAUUGCAAUGCGCUCUGUGUGGGGCUACUUUAAAAGGUGACCCAGAAACUACAACUAAUCCAGAAUGCGGCAGCUAGACUGGUGACUGGGAGCGGCCACCAAGACGACAUAACACCGGUCUUGAAAGACCUACGUUGUCUCCCAAUAUGUUUCCGAGCACAAUUCAAAGUGUUGGUGCUGAGCUUUAAAGCCCUCAACGGCCUCGGUCCAGUAUACCUGAAGGAGCGUCUCCACCCCCAUUGUUCAACCCAGACACUGAGGUCCAGCUCCGAGGGCCUUCUGGUGGUUCCCUCACUGCGAAAAAUGAGGUUACAGGGAACCAGGCAGAGGGCCUUCUUGGUAGUGGUGCCCGCCCUGUGGAACACCUUCCCAUCAGAUGUCAAGGAAAUAAACAACUACCUGACUUUUAGAAGACAUCUGAAGGCAGCCCUGUUUAGGGAAGUUUUUAAUGACUGAUGUUUUAAUGUAUUUUUAACCUUCUGUUGGAAGCCACCCAGAGUGGCUGGGGAAGCCCAGCCAGAUGGGCGGGGUAUAAAUAACAAAUUACUAUUAUUAUUCAUGUGAGAAGGAGGUUGCUGGAUGAAAUAGGGUUUGAUGUCAUCCAGAAAGCAUGUGUUAUGUCCAGUACAGGCAACUAUUGUGAUGACAUAAAAUACAUUAAAUACUGAAACAUUUCUGAUUAGCUAGGAACAUAUUUCUUAUAUAAGGCUCGAUUAUGAAACCCAUUUCUUGAUUUUGGAAAAGAAGCAGUUCUAGUCUGCUGUGCUGUGGAUUUUAUUAAAGUGUAAAGUGAAGAAGGAAAAAAAAGAGAGCAAUGCUUUUGACUGACUGUAACUCUCUCAGAAAUCUUAAGUAGAAAGCAAAAAACAACAAAGCCUCAAAACACUUCUGAAAAAUAGGGAAGUGUCAUAAUAUAAUAAAUUUGCUGCUACGUUUUGGUUAAAACCUUCAGCAACACAAAAGCCUGUGUAGUUUUUUCUUCUUAACACAACAUCUCCUGAAAUAGGUGAACAAGAUGUUAUACUAUAAUUCCAUCUAACAGAAAAUUGAGGUGGCUGAAUGCUUAAGAAGACAGUCCCUUUGUCCUCUCUUGGCUGGAAGCCAACAAGGCAUCUUUGGCUCAGUAGAUAUUGUUUCUUCGAUGCAUGUGGUGAAAGAGAGAGAGAUGGCUGCCCUGCCCUGUGCUUUUGUCAUUACCUGCACAGGUGAGGCCACACCCACCUCUAGUCACAUGCAGAGGAAGUCUGUCCCAGCCCAGAAGGAAACAGGAAGUUUACCUGCUGGCUGGACAAACAUCCCUCCCCAUGUGUAAACAUGUUCACUCUAGGAAUGUUGUACUUGACUGCUCUUGUGUUUCACAUCCCACAUGGAAAUCAUGCAGACAGAACAUAAUUUGUCUGUCAGACACAGAAAGCGAGCUUUGUGCAUGCUCUCAAGCUAUCGGAGACAUAGAAUGUUUUUUGCAGCUGUUUGCCAACCUAAAAAUAAAAGUAAAAUUCCCAAUACCCAUGCACAUUGAUUCCCAAAGUGGGACAGCCAUUUUGAUAUCGGAGAGCAAUAUACGACGUACCAGAACAUUACGGUUACGUUUGGAGUUUGCAAAACUAAUGUUUAAUGAUAAAAUCGUUAAUUUUGAAUACAUAGCUGGACUAGAGCAAAUUGCUGAUGUCUUCACAAAGGCUUUGCCAACAGCUAUGCAUCUUAAACAUACACAGAAAAUGCUAGAUGUUUCUGCUAUGCAUCAUUGACUAGCAGGGGGUUGCUGGUUUUUCUUUAUCUUAAAGUGGUCAAUAAUACUACUCAGAAACCAGGUUGGUUUCAGAGGUGUAUGCUGCACACCUGUGGUCACUCGACUUUUUGCCUAAUUAAAAGGGGAGUUACUUUCUGCACUGGGUGCGGGAAGGGAUGGGAUGUGAUAGGAUAAUUGGUUAAUUGAAACUGUAUUUAGUUUGACCAAAUGUCUUGCAAGUUGCUGGUAAGGAGGAGUGUUGGCUUGUAGCAUUUGGUGGUUCUGUUUUCAAAAAUAAAACUUAAGAAAAGAUAUUGUGGAUGGCUUUUUAUUUCUACGCUCCAUUCGCUGCGCACACUCUGUGUUGAUGAAGAAGUUUAACAGGGACAUCUAAUUACCUAAUAUGACUAAUAAAACAUUCACAAAGUCACUGUUGAUAUAUGCUCUUCAUUCAUCCAUUGCCUUCCUCUCUGUUUUCAUCAUCAAGCACAAGCACUUAUUUCAGCCUUUCUCAACCUGUGGGUCCCCAGAUGUUGUUGAACUACAACUCCCAUCACCCCUAGCUAGCAAGGCCAGAGCUCAGGGAUGAUGGGAGUUGUAGUCUAACAACAUCUGGGGACCCACAGGUUGAGAACCUCAUUGCUACAUAUGUAGAUGUGAUUUUGCUUCUUAUUUAGAAGUGUUUUCAUCUGCCAUCAAACCAAUGAAGAUAGCUAGAAGGCAAUGCCUUUGUGGUUUAAUAUACAUAUACUUUACUGCAUCCUGUAGUGGUUUGGAGAAUACUGCCAUCAACUGUUUUUGUCAUCAUCUUACUGAUAAAAGCAGCAUUUAUACCUAACUUUGAGCUAUUGAUUAAAUUUAAACAAGACCAAUUGAAACUGGAUCACUCAUAGAUGUUAAAGACUUCCAAAUCCUGCUGAUCAAGGGAUUGUGCACUUGCCAUUUAACUUGCUCUAUCUUCUUUUGCCCUGAGGGAAGGAAAGUGGAGUUUUUAGAAUUCUGCCUUGCUUGGAAUAACAGGAAAGGACAAAAAGUAAAAAGGGCACGGGCUCCAUUUCCUCCAAGGCAGGUGAGUGAAUCAAUAGCAGUGGAGCUGAGUGUCCAUUUCACUUACUUUUUUGCCUUUUCCUGCCAUGCCAGGGUAGAGAAGAGGUAAACUAAUGAGCCCUGGUAGUCUAAUGUGAUUCAGAGUUUGGGUUAUCUAAUCUCAUUGGCUGGGAUCAGAAGAGCUGCUGCAUUUGGAUGCUGCUUUCACUUUUAAAAGUGCUUUGCAUUUUGGAAUAAAAGGCAGCUGUUCCUACAAGCCCCUUGGGCAUGCAAAAUGAGUCGCAUGGUUCUUUGUACCUCAGUCAUAAUGUUUUGCACAAUAGUUUCUUAUUGUAUUCCUAUUUGCUCCUUAACCUCAUCAUUUUUUUCUAUGCGAAACUGAAGAUUUUUAGAUCUGCAGGUUCACUCACAAAAUAGGUUUUCUUUGAAGUACAAAUGGCAAUUACUGCUUAUUAGAGGCUGCAGGUUCCUAUAAUUUUUAUGAAAAAAACAAAUCCUUAGGGUGGUAUCCCAUUAAGUCAAACUCAAGAGUAGGCCCACUGAAAACAAUUGACAAGUUACUUACAUCCAUUGAUAGCAAUUGAAUACGCCUAAUGUUGGAUGGGACGCGGGUGGCGCUGUGGGUAAAACCUCAGCGCCUAGGACUUGCUGAUCGCAUGGUCGGCGGUUCGAAUCCCCGUGGUGGGGUGCGCUCCCGUCGUUCGGUCCCAGUGCCUGCCAACCUAGCAGUUCGAAAGCACCCCCGGGUGCAAGUAGAUAAAUAGGGACCGCUUACCAGCGGGAAGGUAAACGGCGUUCCGUGUGCUGUGCUGGCUCGCCAGAUGCAGCUUGUCACGCUGGCCACGUGACCCGGAAGUGUCUGUGGACAGCGCUGGCUCCCGGCCUAUAGCGUGAGAUGAGCGCACAACCCUAGAGUCUGGCAAGACUGGCCCGUACGGGCAGGGGUACCUUUACCUUUUUUAAUGUUGGAUAUCACCCUUAAUAAACUUUAUAUAAUUAUGGCUAGUUCAUCAUACACAGGUACAUAUACAUUUUACUAGCCUUUUCUCCAGUAAAUUUCUCUAACCUGGUGCCCUCUGGUCCAAAUCAUAUGGAGGACAAGCUGUUUGGAGAAGACUGCCUCACACAAAGUUAGUCCAUUGGUCUAUCCAACUCAGUAAUUGUUUUUACCAACCGACUUUGCCCCAAACCCAAGAUGAAGACUCAGCAACGGGUACUGGUAGGAAGGUUAUAUUUAUUAAAACAUAACAAGGAAAACAUGUAAAAGUCUCAAAUGCAUGUGCGGGCAGGUAAAACUUAACAGUCCUGUUUGAGUCCUGUUUGUCCUGUCUGAGGUUGUGGGCAAAACCACACUAGAUGAAUGCCAUCACCCAAGCUAGUGCGAUGGAAGUCAAACCAUAAUGGGAAACCAUGCGGGUGCCACAUAGCAGAUGCCAGCAAAGUAUCCUGCCCAAUGUUCAGCAAGUGGCACUUACCAGACCCGAAGCACAGGAAACCAAACAGUCCACCAAAUCUGCUGAUGAAAGGAGGUGGUUGGUGAAUAAUAAUAAUAAUAAUAAUAAUAAUAAUAAUUUUUAUUUAUACCCCGCCCUCCCCGGCCAGAGCCGGGCUCAGGGCAGCUAACACCAGUAAAAUUACAGUUAAAACAUAAUGGGGGGGGGGGAACCCAAUUUAAAAUACAGGUUAAAAUGCAAUUUAAAAUGCAGCCUCAUUUUAAAAGUAGCCCAUAGAUCAAAACCAUAAGGGGAGGGAAGCAUAGGGGUCAGACUGAGUCCAAACCAAAGGCCAGGUGGAACAGCUCUGUCUUGCAGUCCCUGUGGAAAGAUGAGUAUAAUGUGUUCUUUUAUUUAAAAUGCAUCUCUGGGUUAUUUGUGGGGCAUAGGAAUUCAUUCAUUUUUUCUCCCAAAAUAUAGUCCAGCCCUCCACAAGGUCUGAGGGACAGUGGACUGGCGCCCUGCUCAAAACGUUUGCUGACCCCUGGCAUAGUGUAUAUGCCAAGUUUUUGUGUCAGCGUCACGUGGAUAGGUUAUGUAUGUAUGUAUGUUGAUGGUGCGAGAGGUUGGAAAGCCCAGAACAUGGUUGGUUGCAUUCAGUUGAUUUCAGUGAGUUGUUUUUGUGUGUGUGUGUGUGUGUGUGUGUAGGGGAGGGGGAUUGUUGGGUAAAUUAGUCAUAUCAAUUUGUAGGCUGGGGGGGGGUGUGAGUGUUAGGUCAUUGUCUUGUUGGGCUGAAUAUGUAAUAAAGGGGAGCCACACCGGGGUGAAGGCAUCGUCUUUUGUUUGUCCCUGUACUAAUUUCGAUUUUUUUGUUAGCUUUUCUAGUAGAGCUUCUGCCCCAUACAUUUUGGUAUGGGGUCCGUGUUCACUCCUGAUAGGUCCCUCCAGUGUCUAGUUAUGGCACUCCUAGCUGCUGAGAAUAAGUGGGUUCUGAAUUCUUUGUAAUGUGAGUACGCAUUGUUGUCAUGGAAGAUAUUUUAUAGAGCUACAGUGGUACCUCGCAAGACGAAUGCCUCGCAAGACGAAAAACUCGCAAGACAAAAGAGUUUUUCGUUUUUUGAGUUGCUUCGCAAGAUGAAUUUCCCUAUGGGCUUGCUUCGCAAGACGAAAAUGUCUUGCGAGUUUGUUUCCUUUUUCUUAAAACCGUUAAUACCGUUAAAACCGUGCUUCGCAAGACGAAAAAUUCGCAAGACGAAAAAACUCGCAGAACGAAUUAAUUUCGUCUUGCGAGGCACCACUGUAGUUCUGAAGUUUCUCCUAAUACAGCUUCUGUUAUUUUACAGAUCUCUUGUAGGACUGAUGAAUAUGUAAUGUCUUGUUAUGUUUUUAUAUAUGUUGGAAGCUGCCCAGAGCGGCUGGGGCAACCCAGUCAGAUGGGUGGGGUAUAAACAAUAAAAUUAUUACAGAAUAGGGUGUCGCUAUUUUCACCAGAAAAAUGUUGGCGGGUAUGUUGUAAGCCGGUAUAGAUCCUGUGGAUAAAGGCAGGGCCAAGCUAGAUGUGAUGGGGGCGUUUUCCAAUGCUUAAAUAUGGAACCAACCCAUUCAGUAAGGAAAAAAAGGUAAGGAAAAAAGGGCAAGGGGAACCACAGGAAUGAAAAGUACAUGUCCCCUCCUUCUCUGACUGGUGGCUUAUCUCACCCAUGGCUCUGCUUUUCAGUCCCAAACGCACCUCUGCCUUUGGUAGAAGAGCUGUGGGUAACUAGGAGCUUUUCCACACAUCUACUUGUUACGUGCCUAGAGAGGUUUUUUCAUUCGCCCCACUGCUUUCCCUGGGGAAAACAUGCUGCUUACCACUGAAUUGGAGCAAACUUCAAUCCACAUAAAAACAGAUUCAGCAGUAAAUGGUGGGUUUCCCCUGGGGGGGGAUGGAAGAAGUGUGGGUGAGCCGUAAGCAGCGGUGGAGGAAGCCACUUGGGUGCCUGGGGUUCGCGCCCAGGGACGGGGCAUUCCGCGGGGCCUCCAGAGUCUGCUUGCCUCCCCCCACUCAGCCUCCCUACAACUGGGGGGGGCGCAGCAGGCAGGCCGUUUGAGCUGCGUGGAGCCUGAGCGGUACUGAAAGAUCUUCAUUGGCUCCCAGUACAUUUCCGAGCACAAUUCAAAGUGUUGGUGCCGACUUUUAAAGCUCUAAACGGCCUCGGUCCUGUAUACCUGAAGGAGCGUCUCCACCCCCAUCGUUCAGCCCGGACACUGAGGUCCAGCGCCGAGGGCCUUCUGGUGGUUCCCACGUUGCAAGAAGUGAGGUUACAGGGAACCAGGCAGAGGGCCUUCUUGGUAGUGGCGCCUGCCCUGUGGAACACCCUCCCAGCAGAUGUCAAGGCAAUAAACAACUAUUUUACUUUGAAAAGACAACUGUUUAGGGAAGCUUUUAAUGUCUGAUGCUGUAUUGUUUUUAAUCUUUUGUUGGAAGCCACCCAGAGUGCAUAGCUGUCAGCUUUCAGAUUUGAAAAUAAGGGAUCAGCAGCCUCACCUGUCCUGUGGACAGUCUAUGGGAUAUCUAACAAUCUGGGAUAGCAGCAGGAAACGGUGCCGGAAUAAGAGAAUAUCCGGUGAAAAAAGGGAAGGUUGACAGCUAUGCCAGAGUGGCUGGGGAAACCCAGCCAGAUGGGCAGGGUAUAAAUAAUAAAUUAUUAUUAUUAUUAUCUAAGCCACUGCGUUUCUCACAGGAGACACAUGGCUAGGGCACGCUGCAGGCCCCGCGGUGAGUGCCGCCUGGCAUUUUGUCACCCCCCUCAGUGGUGACACCCAGGGCAUCCCACACCCACCGCACCCCCCUUGCUCUGCCCCUGGCUCCCCUCAAUUACAGUCUUGCUUUUAAGAUCUUGUGUUUCCCACACUUCUCUCCGUAAGCGAUUAGGGCAUUUCCCUGUUGAACCGCACAGAACUGUGGCUGUCUCCUCCAGUGUUGACCUGAGCAUCUCAUUUGAAGUGGGGCGAGGAGGGGAGGGGAGGGGACUGUAAAUGCUGUCGCGCCGCGUAAACAGAAAGUAGAAUUCCAGCCCACAAAUUCCAACCGGAUCAUUCUCUUUUCUCCCCGAGCAUAUGUCGAUACGCAGCACAACAGAGCAGGGAAAGCUAAAUAAAUAAGUGUGACAUGAGGUUUUAGUACAAUAACAGCAAGGGAGGAGGCAGGGCACUUCAAUUAAUAAUGGAGCGCAGAGUUCCUGAUAGAGCCGUUCUUUAAUAAUGUUUAAAAGAGGUACAAGGAGCCCUGGGAGAAGCUUUAGAGAUAACUGCAAUGGGCAUUUUGCCCAGCAGUGCCCAUGAGGCACAGCUCCUCCUGCAGAAUAAGUUCAAAAAGGAAAUGGAAAUUGCUUCCUUUGACGAGAAUGGGUAACUUUUGAAGCAAGGCUUCAGCCGGCCCUGACGCAGGAAUAAAGGUGGCCUGAUACCCCACAAUACUGAGAAAAGGAGCAGGCAAAUUUCCGCUUUUCAGAGUUCUCACCAUCAGGAUAGGGGUUGUGCCUGUUGGUGAUUUGAUGGAGAUUUAGGCUGCCAAACUGAAUCUUCCGUAAAAGUUUGUUUGAACUAGAUGGACGCUCAAUGAAAAUUAGCUGCUUCUUCCAUACACUCGCAAUGUUUCUCCUUUUUUCCAGCGUAACUAUGAUGACAAAAACUUCUCUGAAUAUAAUUGCAUUUGGAGGUAAGCAAAAUCUAAAGAAAAGGGGAAAAAAACCCAGUUUCAAUUCAUGUUAUAUGUUAAAAUGAACAACCCUGCAAUGAAAAGAGAAAUACAGUGGUACCUUGGUUUCCAUAUGUCUUGGUUUGCAUACGUUUUGGAUUACAAACACGUUUAACCCAGAAGUGUGCAACCUUUUGUUGGAUUACAACCCAUUUUUUUGGAUUACGAACAAUUUUUUUUGGGAGGCCCCAUUGGUGAAAGCGUACCUUGGGUUACAACCAACUUUGGUUUACAAACGGACCUCCGGAACGGAUUAUGAAUGUAAACCAAGGUACCACUGUACUAAUUGUGGUGGGAAAUCAAAUCGCAAGUAAAUAGCAGUAGGAGGUUACAUAUUUUAAGCAGUAUACCUGUUGACUGGUUCGUAUCUUAUAAGGAAGUGCAGUUUAUAAAUCUUUAAAUAAAUAACUACAGUGGAAACAUAUUUAAGCAGUUGUCAUUGUGGUUAGAGUUCCAGCCUUGGAGACCUAGGAGUUCAAACCCCACUUGGCCAUGAAACCCACUGGGUAGCCGUGGGCCAGUCAUUAUCGCUUAGCCUAAACUAUCUCACAGGGUUGUCAUAAGAAAUAAAUGGCAAGAGAGAGAGCCAUGUACAUUACCUUGCGCUCUUUGGAAGAAAUGAGGGAUAAAAGUACAUAAAAACAAAUAAAUGUAUCUUAACAGUAACUUUGCCAGAGUUCUAGUCUCAAAAAUCUAAGGUUUAUUUUCAUCUUGCCUAGCCUAGAAGGGCUGAUUCCAGGUUGAGUUCAGGCUCAGCAUUUUCUAAAGACAAGCAAAGGCCCAGCACCUGAACAGGAUAAAGUAAUACACAUUCUCUCCAACUCAUAGCACAGUACUUACUAUUUAAACUCCCCUUGCCACUAUUGCUUGGAUAAGUUCAAGUCAUUGCAACCUAAGAAAGUUGGAGAGCGCUGUCGGUCAUCUGUUUGCUUGCCCACUUUCCAUUGUGUCUAAUAACACCUGAGGGGGAUUUGUUGUUGUUGUUUAGUCGUUUAGUCGUGUCCGACUCUUCGUGACCCCAUGGACCAGAGCACGCCAGGCACUCCUGUCUUCCACUGCCUCCAGCAGUUUGGUCAAACUCAUGCUGGUAGCUUCGAGAACACUGUCCAACCAUCUCGUUCUCUGUCGUCCCCUUCUCCUUGUGCCCUCCAUCUUUCCCAACAUCAGGUUCUUUUCCAGGGAGUCUUCUCUUCUCAUGAGGUGGCCAAAGUAUUGGAGUCUCAGCUUCAGGAUCUGUCCUUCCAGUGAGCACUCAGGACUGAUUUCCUUAAGAAUGGAUAGGUUUGUUCUUCUUGCAGUCCAUGGGACUCUCAAGAGUCUCCUCCAGCACCAGAAUUCAAAAGCAUCAAUUCUUCGGCGAUCAGCCUUCUUUAUGGUCCAGCUCUCAAUUCCAUACACCAGCUGAAUCUUUGAAUGUUAAAAGAGAGUGGUCCAGCCAUUCUGACAAAAAUGUGUUUGCAGACACAUUUCUCUCUCUCUCUCUCUCUCUCUCUCUCUCUCUCUCUCUCUCUCUCAGUGCAACUCAUAGUUUGCACAGUUUUCCAUUUCCUUUACCUGAGAUGCUAUGUUUGUUUUUCCAUGGCAAACCAUCAGUAUUCAGAAGUUCAGAAUAUUGUUGGAUUCAGUUGAAUUUGUGUGUCAUUAUGCAAGUGAGAUUGGACAUUAGUAGUGACGCAGUUCCCCAGCUUGUAACCAAGAUGGAAUAUUUCACAUUUGACUGUAUACAUGCAAUUCCAAUCAUACCCUAUAUAGGUCAUGUUCUAUGGUGGAGGUUUGCACAGAAAUCCCAUUAUUUGUGCCCUACUAUUAACAUAUCACCCUGUGUCACAGAGUGACAUUUCUUUCAGUGCAUGCUCUUGAUACCAGCUAUCCUCGUAAAUGUACUGUAGCUUUCACCCUAUCCAUAUCACGUUUCACAAGUCAGCCCACAUUUCAACUCCUAAAUCGUGAUAAAAUCUAUUUGCCAAAGGUAUUUCAUUUACAUUUCUUUUGUCUUCUUUUGAUUGCAUUAUGUAGAACGCCAUGGACACAGUGUUAUGUACACACAUAAUAAAAUUACUAUUAAUAAUAAUAAUAAUAAUAAUAAUACCAGGUUUAGAAUAAUCUUGUGCGUGAUAUAAAAAAUACAAAGUGAGACAUUAAGGAAAUCCAAAGGGAAAAUAUGAAGAAGAGAGGAUCUGACGAAUGGAUUAUUAAAAACACAUGAGGCAAAUGGUGGAAGACUUUUAAAAAAACAAAGAAACACUUUUUAAGAUAGAUAAGGACAAGUUGAGAUUAUACAAUUGAAUAUAAAUAUAGAUGGGAAACGGCUAUGUAUAGUGAAUACUUAACUACUUUAAAAAAAAUUCACCUAUGAUCCUUUUCUUUUACUUCUUUAUUUUUUCUUUGUUCUUUUUUUCCUUUUUUUCUGAUAUCUUAUCUUUCAUUUCACUCUUUUAUUGUGAAUAGCAUUUUAAAGAGGUAUAAAUAACUGUAAAUAUGAAAAGAGACAAAGUAUUCUCUAAUUAUUUUCCUUGGUUAUAUGUAUUUUCUUUUUCUUUUGUAUUUUCUUUUGUUGUAAAUAUGUAUGUUUUCUAAUUUGUACUUAAUAAAAUUAAAUAAAUAAAUAAAUAAUACCAGGCUCAUUGCGAAUUUUGAUUACCUGCAAACCAACUGUUCUAAUCUGCAAAUUCCAGCUUUCUGUUGCUGUUCAUAGGAGCAUAGUAUAUUUUUUUCGCCUUCUAUGAUGUUUUAAAGAAAUUAUCAGCAGGCUUGUUUGGGGCAUGUGCCUUUAUGCAUGUCUUCAUGUCCAAGGAACAGAAAUAAUUGGAGAGAAUUCAGUUCCAGAUGCUAGGGGAACCAUUUCCUACCGCUACCCUGACUCUCUUUUGCCAGAGAACGCUCUGCUGCCCUCCAGUAUCCUAGGAGUUCAGUUCAGUUUAUUGUGUUUACUGUGCAGCCAUCACACAUAAUGAAGUAAGGUGUUAGGUUUGCUGGUAGGAGAUGUUAUUAGAUGAUGGAGGCAGGCGUUUGCAGAUGUUAGCCUUUUUUCAACUGUUCAAUUGGAACAUUCGUGAAAGACGAAGCAAAGAGUUCUGCUUAAGGAAACGGUAAACAUAUGUCCUUAAGCAGAACAGGAACAGACCAUUGAAAACUGUUGCCAGUUGAGAAGGAACUGUUGCUACUAGAAUAGAAGAACUCAUGGUCACAGUCAGUAUAAUGACCUAUGUUCAGGGUUGAUAAAUAAGGCAUCUCUUCAUAACAAAGGGGGAGGGAGCAUGCUUUUACUAUUUAUCAACCUGGAUGUAGUUUAAAACACUACUCAUAAAACUAUUUACUUCUGCUUCCAUGCUAUAUAUGUCUCCACAGUUUUAAGUUACUGGCAGGUGAAUUGCUUUUAACAUUCUUCUUCUAUUAAGAAAGAUACAUAAAGAAAACGACAUUUUCGCAGGAACAAGCUGCUUUUUAUUACAGCCUUAAAAGUAAAAACAGCAUGGCUGUAGGUGGAGAGCAUUUCUUGAAAGCUACAGAUAAUUUGUCAGGCCAGCUGCAGCUCUUGAUAUUCAGCCAUAUCCAAACAGUUUUAAAUCGCACCUGCCUUUUUUUGUGUGUGAAAGAAGGUAACAUGAUAAAUGCGACUGCUUCUGGUUUAUACUGUAUCAAAAACGGUUUGAUAACCCAGAUUGUUAUGGCUAGCCCUAAAAUCCUAUUCCAAAUAUGAAGCUUUUAUAGCUCUUCUUGACUAGGGCGACCCACUGGGUCAGCCCAGGUGGGCAGGACCAAUCCAAAAUUUAGAACACUUUAGCGUCUGGGUUUCCCCAGUAGUGAUGUAUGGAAGUGAGAGCUGGACCAUAAAGAAGGCUGAUCGCCAAAGAAUUGAUGCUUUUGAAUUCUGGUGCUGGAGGAGACUCUUGAGAGUCCCAUGGACUGCAAGAAGAUCAAACCUAUCCAUUCUGAAGGAAAUCAGCCCUGAGUGCUCACUGGAAGGACAGAUCCUGAAGCUGAGGCUUGAAUACAUUGGCCACAUCAUGAGAGGAGAAGACUCCCUGGAAAAGACCCUGAUGUUGGGAAAGAUUGAGGGCACAAGGGGAAGGGGACGACAGAGAACGAGAUGGUUGGACAGUGUUCUCGAAGCUACCAGCAUGAGUUUGACCAAACUGCGGGAGGCAGUGGAAGACAGGAGUGUCUGGCGUGCUCUGGUCCAUGGGGUCACGAAGAGUCGGACACGAGUAAACGACUAAACAACAACAAGCGUCUGGGAAAAUGCUCCAAACUACAGUUUCAGUGGCAACUGCACACAAAACUAAGAGUUCCUAGGCAUUGUUGUGGUUGCUCCUGACACUAGGAUUGAUUUGUUACAGACAGUUUGAAGUUUCAAUAUUACACUAGAGUUGUUUUUUAUCCUCAUCAUCAUAUUCAGGUGUUCAAAGUGCCUCUCAUGCAUUAUCUCCCAGCUCCCAGCUAAUAAAACUUCUGCGGAUGGCAAAUGUAUAGCUAAAUCACCAGGAUUUGUAAGGUACAGUGGAGAUUCCCAGCAAGUGAAGUUUUGUGUGCCCCUCGGGGCAACCAUCUGCCAGCUACCUGACAGCAUUGUUGCGACUGCAUGAGAUAAGAUAGCGUUACUGUUAAAGCUGAAGGAUUGAUUAUUAGGACUGUCAUCUGAAAGUAAAUGGGUUAGCAGUGUCAGAAUAAUUUAGUCAACUGAUUAAAAGAAAUCCUACACCAGGUAAAAACAUUGAGGACAUUAAUUAAAAACUGUUGUGUGAUCAAGGUUUUAGUCUUUGGAAGAAUUAUUACUCAAAAUUUUCAAAUUAACAGAUGUGCAAAAGCUUAAAUCGGCAGCACAUGUUCGUAGGAUAGCUGAUUAAAAAUCUUAGUUUUAUCCAUGAUUAUCCAUACUGAUUAAUUUAUUAGAGCUUGUUGUUGGCCUCUUUCUUCUUUGACCACUCAGCUACUAGCUUGGACAUCCUUUGACUGUUAGCAAUGCUUUCUAUCACUUGUGCAGCCUCAAACACACACACACACACACACACACACACACACACACACACAAACAUGUACAGGUUCUGUUGUCUAGCAAUAACAAUGUAUGUAAGGAAAUAAAUAAGGUGUAAAUUUGUGAAGAACCCAUAUGUGAUGUUGCCUCAUCACCUUCGUGAGACGUUAGACUUCAAAGUAUAGAAUUCAUGUGAGCAUUUCAUUGUUGAUCAAGAUAAAUUCACUGGAGUAUGGUAAAAAAAAAAAAAAAAGCAUUUAGCUAUACUUGGUAAACGUAUUACCCAUACUCUCCUGUCUCUUGGAAACGUAUCACAGAAAUAUUUUGGGAAUUACAAGAAGUAGAAGACUUGGGGUGGGAAGCCUUCUAAAUUGUACUUUCAAAAGGUAGGAUGAGAGAUGUGUGAACUACUAAAAUAGGAGUGGAUUUCACAGUAUGCUGAGAGAAAUGAGAUGGGAAAAAUAUGUUUAGAGCAGGCGGAAGAGUGGAUGUAGAACAAAAAGCAAUGCUUGGUGGGUAUGGCUGUGGCCAUUGGAGGUCCUCUUCAGAGCCCAGCCCAUCAGAGAUAUACCGGACCCCUACCUGAAUUUUCAGCUCUGUCUCUCUCUCUUUCUAAAGACCAUCCUUUUUGCUUUGGGAGGAAUGGUGAGGGUAGAUGUGGAGACAUGAGGGGGUCAUUCUAUCCAGAAGUUCAGUACGAAGUUACCUUUUCCACUUAAGCUGCCUGUGCAAAAUGAAAAGCCUGGGUGACCCUUCUGAAUGGUGUGGGGGAACGUCAUGAAGAGAGAGGGGUGCCAUUAAGUGGGAGAAGAGAACUGGCAAAAAUCAGCUGCAGGCACCUUGCAUAAGCAGGAUACAGGCACCAUACGGUCUCUGUGUAGUGCCACCACUACUGAAGAGGUGCUUUACCCAGUCACAUGUUGCUUUUAAUUCAAAGAGCAAAGUCACCAAAAAUAGUUGAGGGAAGGAAGGAAGGCGGAGAGAGGGAGGGAGGAGUAGCCAAUGUUGCUUAAGACAGAGUUGGGAUUCAAGAUGAUCUUAAUAGAUUGGAGAACUGGGUCCAUACUAAGAAAAUGAAUUUCAUUAGGAACAAAUGUAAGGUUCUAUACUUAGGCAGGAAGAACCAGCUGCAUCAAUAUAAGAUGGGGGGUAUCUGGCUUACCAUAGUACAUGUGAAAAGCACCUAGGGGUCUUAGUAGACCACAAGCUUAAUAUGAGUCAUCAAGGGUGCAGGGGGGGGAGCUAACACUAUUCUAGGCUGCAUCAACAGAAGUAUAGUUUCCAGGUCAAGGGAAGUAAUAGUCGCACUCUAGUCUGCCUUGAUCAGAGCACACCUGGAGUACUCUGUGGGCACCACAGUUUAAGAAGGAUAUUAACAAGCUGGAAUGGGUGCCAAGGAAGGCGACCAAGAUGAUCAAGGGUCUAGAAACCAAGCCUUAUGAGGAAUGGUUGGGGGAAUUGGGAAUGUUUAGCCUGGUAAAGAGAAGACUGAGAGGUAAUAUGAUAACCAUCUUGAAGUAAUUAAAGGGCUGUCACAUGGAGAGUGGAGCAAGCUUGUUUUCUCCUGCUCUGGAGGGUAGGACCCAAGCCAAUUGCUUCAAGGUAGAAGAAAGGAGAUUCCAACGAAACAUCAGGAAGAACCUUUUGACAGGAAGAGCUGUUCGAUAGUGGAACAGACUCCCAUGAGAGGUGGUGGGCUCUCCUUCCUUGAAGGUUUAUAAGCAGAGGUUAGGUAGUCAUCUGUCAUGUAUGAUCUGGUAGAGAUGCAUUGCAGUGGUUUGGACUAGAUGUCCUUCAGGGCCCCUUUCAAAUCCAUGAUUCUGUGAUUCCAUAUCAUGCAUAGUUUGCUUUUUGGUGGGCUCGGUGUAUUGGAUGCUGCUAAGCACUUGCAAAAGAUGUAGUUUAUCCGCAUUGGCAUUACCAGUGAAGUGCAUGUUUGCCUUUGAAGAGUUCAUCUUUUUAAUUUAGCAAAAGUGUGUAUGAUUGAUGAAACAUGGCUCUUAAUGUUUGUCUUCUAUAAAUUCAAAAGCUACAGUGAGGUAUUCAUUUUAGAUAUAUCAGGCACGCCCAGCUCCCAAGAAACUGUGAUCUACUUCCACUAUUUAGAAAAACUGGCAAUGAUCUACCCAAGAUGGUGGCUAACUGCCCAAAAUGUUGAGUUUUUUUGGGGGGGGGAGAGGCCACAAUUUUUUAUAUUACUUGGGGGGGGGAGUGAUCACUUUCUGUCAUCCUGCGAUCUACCUGCAGCACCCCGGUGAUCUACCUGCGACGGCCCAAUGAUCUACCAGUAGAUCACGAUCUACACAUUGUACAUCCUUGAUAUAUAUCAUUGAAACACUGUAAAAUGGCAUGUGCACAACAUCCUGGGUUCCAGAUCUUGCAUCUGAAGAUAUUUGUGCCCACUGUGAAUUAACAUGCAACACACGAGGUCAUUAAACCAGGGCCUUGCAGAGCCAGACAGGUAGAUAAUGUGUCCUCUCUUUUUUUUACCCUGGGGAUAAAUGAAGUUUCCACCAAAUUUUAUCCCCAUUGAGCUAUAUGUACCCCUCGGGUGUAAGUAAUAUUCCUUGCCUAGUCAACAAUUUUUUUAACAAAUGGCCACAUCUUCAUCAAUUUUUCAUCAUUUUCAAAAAAAAAUUUAGCAAAAAGAAAGCCAACACACUUAUCUUUAAGGUACGUGUGGUUUUAAUUUUUGGCAAACAAGAUUUGAAACAAAAACUCACCAACUUUUAACAGCAUGAAAAACGUUCGUGGCGCACUGGCUGCUGGAGCCUUGGUCACCUCCACACACACACACACACCGUGCCCGCUCCUUUGUGGAGCCGAUCACAGGCCGUGCCCUGGACGCUGGGGAAGCUUUUCUCUCACACUGCCAGCCAGGGAAUCCGCCCGCCAACGCCUUUGCUCCUCCGCGUUCGCCCCAGUGGAUCCCCUGCGAUUGUGAAUAUGCUGACCGAGGCCCCCUUUGUAAUCGGAGGCCCAGGCCUGCAUUGAACUAGAAUGCACUUUGUAAAGCACACCCAGGAUACUUUGCUGUGCCUCAUGGAAGUGUGUCAAAGGGUUGUCCCAGCAUCUGCGCCAUUUUGCAUAUCGUAAGGUGCAGGGAAGCAGAACCUCUGAGCAAAACUCUGAUUCUGUUUUGAACAUGGUGAUUUCCAAAUUAUUCUCAUUUGCAUUCUUCAUAGCUGAAAUAAACUGUCAAUCCUAUUUAGAACAGUAAAGAAUUUAAUUUGUAUUGCCCUACCCCAAGUUCACAAUUAAUUUCACAAAGCCAAUAAUAGCCUACACUGUGAUGAUAGUUUCUAUCACCUUUGCAGCCAUCGUGAUUUCUAACUGAGUUUAUUUAAUGCUGAUUAGUUUCAUUUCCUUCUGUCGCUCAAAACUUAAAACUCUCAUAUGGAUUUGUAGAUAGAACAAAUGUUGUAUGGAUGGAGAGAUUCUGCUGGAUAGUCCUGAUAUCAAUAUAUAUUGGUAACUUUUCAGCAUUGUAUUUGUUCAUGGCAGGGUGGAUUUGAUUAAAAUCAAAUUGAUUUAAAUCGUGAUUUAAAUCACAAUUUAAAUCACUAGUCAGUAAGACUUGAUUUAAAUCAUUAUUUUUUUACAGAAAGACUAAUUCUUGCUGGUAUCAUCUUAAUAUUUACAACGAGAUGAAGGUUUCAUUUUUGGAAUAAUAAAUUUUCAGAGUAGUUUUUUCAGUUAUAUCAAAAAUUACUGAUUUGGUUAUACUAUUAGAAAUACAUAGACAGAUAAUGAUGAAAUUAUUGUGAAGUUUAAUAAGUUAACUGUUUAUAUUUGGAAAACUUUUCUGCCGUACUUUAUUGGAAGGUGAAAAAUAAUCAUUUCCUUAAUAACAAUUUAAACAAUGUAUUUAACUAAAACAAUAACAUUAUAGCAUAUGUAUCCAUGUUUGCAAACUGAUGUGUUUAAACAGUUUUUUUUAAAAAAGCUUAGAGUUUUAGCACACAAAUCAUUUUCUGAUGAAUAGUCUUUGGACUAUAAUGUAACUUAAAUAGAAGACUGUCUUUAGAAAGAUUUUUCCUCCAAAAGCAUUUUAUUUUAAAAAUCCAAUUUAAAAUUUUAAAAAAAAUCUGAGUUAAAUCAAUAAAAUCUGAUUUUUUAAAUUAUUAUUUUUUAAAAAAUCAUUGUUUUUUAUCCACCCUGGUUCAUGGUUUAUGCUUCUUGUUAGUCGAUAACUCUGUGCAAGGUUGUACUACUUCAGACUGCAGUUGAAUCUUUAAAGGAUUGGAUAUUUUUCCAUACAUGGAGUGGGGGCAAUCCACCCACAUAAGAAAAUGAACUUGUCUGGGAAUAUGGCUUGAGUAGAGUUUUACCUCCUCGGCUAACUAUAACAUGUUGAUAUGCUUUGACAGUGUGUGUGUUUCUUAAAGCCCAAAGAAUGAAAAUUCUUGAAUUUCCCCCAACAAGAUUUCAUCUUACCCUGUAGACUGCUUCUGAAUGAGACAUCAGUAACAUUCUUGCCAACUGUUAACUUGUAGACAGCCUAUAGUUAAAUAGGGAGCUUUGCGUCCAUAGUUCCACAGCCUGUUUCAAUAAAUGGUCAGGGAAAAUAAUAUUCUGCUCAAGAAAACAGAUGAAAUUGUAGGGGAAAUGGAAGGUUAUUUCCUUAUGUUUAUCCCUACUUCUAGAGACUCGGUUCCUCCUCCAUAUGGCUUUUAUCUCACUCCCAGCUCAUGAAUAAAAGUGCUUUGGGGACCCAUCAAUGUUAAUACAUUGAUGGGGACCCAUCAAUGUUAACUAGAUUGUACCUGUUUAUGGAUAUUUAUUUGGAUGAAGGUUUGGUAACAAGUUGCCUUCUACUGGGGGGUUUGAACUGGGAGCAUUGUGCUUCAGCCCUCGAUUCCUGUGCCAACCUCAGGUUGAUGACCAGGGGAUGGAAGUAAAGGCAGUACCAGGCAGAACUCUAUUCCCACAUUCCCACUUCCUCUUGCUCCUGCUGGUCAUCAGUUGAUAACAAAACCAGACCCCAUCCUGACAAGUAGGGAUGCGGGAGAAAUUCAAUUCAGUUCACAUUUACAGGCAAAUUUACUUUAUUUGCACUUUCCAUAACAGUACGAGAACUGAAACACAGCCAUCCUUCUUCAAAUUUUGCAACGAAGUAUACCAGCCCACCGGUGUGUAUGAAUAUGCACACACCAGAGUACAGUGUGCACAUAUAAGUGGGGAAAAAAACAUACAAAAUGCAUUGUUUUGGGGAAAAUUGCUUCGGGAAAGUGUGUAUAUUAAGACAAUAUUGCAUACAAAUGUUUGUACAGUCGUACCUUGGAUUCUGAACGCCUUGCGAGUCAAACGUUUUGGCUCCUGAACGCCGCAAACCUGGAAGUGAGUGUUCCGGUUUGCAAACGUUCUUUGGAACCCGAACGUCCGACACGGGUUUCGUGGCUUCCGAUUGGCUGCAGGAGUUUCCUGCAGCCAAUCGGAAGCCGCACCUUGGUUUCUGAACAUUUUGGAAGUCGAAUGGACUUCCGGAACGGAUUCCGUUUGACUUCAGAGGUACAACUGCAUUAGGAGAAAUCUGCAAGAAAAUGCUAAUGAAUUUAUAUGAGACCACCUUUUUUUAAAAAAAUGCAAACUAAUGUGAAAAUACGGUUAACUUAAAACUGGGGGGGGGGGAUAGAAAUGAAGCAAAACUGAAAUGGACACAUUUACCCAUCCCUGCUGCAUAGCCAGGUGUCCUACUUUACAGACGACAGUCCUCCUUUUUGAAGGGAUAUCAUAGGUUAGUCUUCUGUUUAAAGGUGUUCACUGUCUGAAGAGGUGUCUGGUCCAAGUCUGAAUUAAAGAUAAAGAAUCCUAAGAAGGGAGAGCAGGAGGGGCCUUGAAGCUACUCAUCAACAGUUAGCACCCGGACAGCAGACUGAACAGAAACACAGGUCACCCGGUCACAGUCUACGCUACUAUGGUGAGAUGCCCUGUAUUUCUAUUUAAGUUUUAGUAGUUAUUUCCAAAUAAGUGUCUAUACAUAAAAAUCAACACAUGGAAUUUUUAUGCAAAUAUGUGCCCUCUUUUGCCCUCCUCUGUGUUGACUCAUUUCCUCUCUUUUGGUAAUGCAUAACUGGCAUCCUGUACCAUGUUCUUGCAGGCUGCAAGAUACCGUAUUUUUCGCUCUAUAAGACGCAUCAGACCAUAAGACGCACCUAGUUAUUGGAGGAGGAAAACAAGAAAAAAAAUAUUCUGAAUCCCAGAAGCCAGAACAGCAAGAGGGAUGCGAAAGCAGCGAUCCCUCUUGCUGUUCUGGCUUCUGGGAUAGCUGCACAACCUGCAUUUGCUCCAUAAGAUGCACACACAUUUCCCCUUACUUUUUAGGAGGGAAAAUGUGAAUCUUAUAGAGCAAAAAAUACAGUAUACUGCUUUCCUGUAGGGCUUACCCACACAUACCUUUUGCUCCGCUGUUUGCAGACACAGGUCCACACUUUGAAGCUCCAUCCCUGAGUGGCUUUUUUUCCUCUGGAGUUUUCCUUGCAAAACCCGGUUCUUAAGGCUGAAUCGGAGCAAACAGCACUUUGGGUUUUCAGUGUUUAUAGAAAUUACAGAGGAAACGUAAGUGUUCAUAAGCACUUACUCUGGACAAUGAAUUGCUGAGCUAGCAGGCUAUUCCUGAGUUGCCAGACAAUGUGAGCUACCUGUUUGCCCCAGGCAUUUGCUAGCCCUUGAACAUGAUCUCCUGUCACUUUGGACAUGUGUUAAGAAGGAGAUUUCAAAGGGACUUAGCAGUAUUGAAUCAGGUAUACAUAUAUCUGUGUUUGCACCUGCAUCCAGUAUGCAUGAAAAUUACCGUUGCAAUUGCAUUAUACAUUUUUCGUUAAUGUGAUGCAUCCCAGGUUUUGAAGAAAAUUGUGUUUAUUUCCUUGCAAAAGUUAAAUAAAAAGACUUAAGGAAUUCCCAUGAAGAAACUCCCACAUCCUCUGUAUAUGAAGGGAAACAUCAGUGAAAGAACCUUAUUACAAGUGUAGUCCUGUUUUUACAUGUCCCUUUGAAGUUACUGCAAGAUAAAUAAAAACAACCUCCUCAGAUAUUUUUUUGCUGCUGAGUUUUCUUUGUCUUGCUUUAAUUUUGGGAACCUAGAACAACUUUGCAUUAUGACUCAUUUUUCUAAGGAGAAUUGGACUUAAUGGCUAGAAGAGGGAGAGAAAUGAUUUAGCUUAUGUAUUAGUAUGACUAGUCUCCUGUUCUUUUCUUUUUAUUACAGACACAGUAGCUAUUGUGAACUUGUUUCUAAAGCUCGAUCUGUUCUAUAAGGACAGAUGACAUUGUAACAGUUUGUGAUAACAUUGCUUUCUGAAGUUGUUGCUGAAUCUGAAUAGCUGAAUGUUUCACUGCAGUCUGGGUUAUUUGCCAUAAAUGCAACUCCCAGCACAGAGAAAAGAUGACCUCUGGCAAAGCAUUGGGUUUGUUGGAAGAUUUUCCCCCACCUUCCCUUUGGAGACAGCCCAGGAAAUUCCAGGUGUCAGAAUUUUUGGCUCAUUGUGCUGCCAGGUUUUAACAAAAGUCCCAAGAGUAGAAUGGGCAGAAUGUUGCUGUUCAAGAAAUUUACAAAUUAUAUAUAUAUAUAUAUAUAUGCACUUUUAUGAACUUUUUUUAAUGUUAUAAAAGAGAGAGACUCUUGUUAUUAUCUGGUUACUAUUUGUGUAUAAAUAUUGUGUAAGAAUACUGGAUUGAAUGGAGCGAAGAAGGUAUGCAGUUGGAUUGUAAAAUAUGAAAAUUGGCAUCGCUGCUGCAAUAUUGUAGGCAUAACCCCAUCUCUUGCAUUUUCCAUCCCAUGAAAAUCUCCCCUCCUUUUCAGAUGGUGUAGCAUAACAUCUGCACUGAUGCUAAUCAUAGCUAGCGUUAUCCAGGAUUGCCUUCAAUCUGGAUUUGCAAGCUAGGAAUCAAGUUUAUUAUCACGUGAAAGUGUCUCUCAAGAUAUGAUCUCCCCUGUUGAUCUCCCCUGUUCUGUAAGUCCAUGGCAAUGAGUAAGAUAGUUAUUAUGACUAUAGCCCUGAAAUCAUAGCAUUUAUGCACAUAGACCUAGUCUAGGUGUGGAAAUUGGUUUUUUGAAAGAAGAAGGCCGAAACUGUUUACUAGAUAAGAGCAGUUAACUUGUAGGAAUCAGGUGCUGCUAAUACAUUGUGUUUUGGACUUUAAGACAGUAGUCUGAUUUGCGCUGCAUACUUGCCAAACCAUUGUUUAGUGUGAACCCACAGGCUCUAGGAGAGAAUGUUGCAGCUGUGUGGCUGCUCCCUGGCCUUUCCACUGCCACACAGUGCCAAGGGAUGGCCUGAGUUAGUUUGUCGUCUGAACCCAGGAUCAUGGUUUAGCUCUACCAGACAAACCACAAGCCAUAAACCAUAAGCUGAACCUUGGUUGCAACUAAUCCAGAAUGCGGCAGCUAGACUGGUGACUGGGAGCGGCCGCCAAGAUCAAAUAACACCACUCUUGAAAGACCUACAUUGGCUCCCAGUACGUUUCCAAGCACAAUUCAAAGUGUUGGUGCUGACCUUUAAAGCCCUAAAUGACCUCGGUCCAGUAUACCUGAAGGAGCGUCUCCACCUCCAUCAUUCUACCCAGACACUGAGGUUCAGUGCUGAGGGCCUUCUGGUGGUUCCCUCACUGCGAGAAGUGAGGUUACAGGGAACCAGGCAGAGGGCCUUCUCGGUAGUGGCACCCGCCCUGUGGAACACCCUCCCAUCAGAUGUCAAAGAGAACAAUAACUACCAGACUUUUAGAAGACAUCUGAAGGCAGCCCUGUUUAGGGAAGUUUUUAAUGUUUGAUGCUGUACUGUGUUUUUAAUAUUCUGUUGGGAGCCACCCAGAGUGGCUGGGGAAACUCAGCCAGAUGGGCGAGGUAUAAAUAAUUUAUUAUUAUUAUUAUUAUUAUUAUUAUUAUUAUUAUUAUUCUGGGGAAAGUUAAACCAUGAGCUACAGUUAAAUCAAGCAAUUUCUUAGAUCAGUACUGCUGCAGAAUGAAUGAGAAGGAGCAAAGUGACCAUGAUCUCAUAUCCAGGAAACCACACGCUUACACUUAGCAUGAUCUGUUAACUAUUGCAUUCAGGCAUAAUUACUGUUAAGAGCUUACAAUUAUUGUGGUUUUAGCCUUUUAUUAGCAGGAAUUUUUCAGUCCUGAGAAUUUGAAGAAACAAAAAAGUAUGUCAUUGGCUAUAUAUAUAUAUAUAUAUAUAUUUAUGAUAGUGUAAUUUAUGAGUUUUAAGGCCAUGUGCCUGUUGUAUAUGCAUGUACGCACCAACCCAGGACUCUGACCUGACCCAGCUCCAAAUCAAUCUGCGAAGAGAGAGCUAAUGUUUAAUUAGGGAAAAUUUGGUCCGCCAUCUUUAUUCAAAAUGAUGCCCAGCAUCCAAACAUAGAUGAAGUCCAUCACCUCUUCUUCAGGAACAUUUGUGCCAAGUUUGGCAACCAUUUCUUGGGAGGCAUCCAAAUUGGAGCAGGUUGUCACUACCCCCACCAAACUGGGGAACAUCUUCAGACCUGUCCAAAUUGGUGCAGGUUCGAACCAUUAAUGGGUCUGGCCCUGUAAACCUGAAGGAGUGUCUCCAUCCCCAUCGGUCAGCCUGGACACUGCAGAUGACAGUACAAGUGGCUGAGAAACUUUCUUGUUCUGUUAUAUGUAGCCAGAGCAAUUAGAAAUCUAGACCAUUUUCAUGCAAUCUGGUAUAAAUGUAUUGAAUACACAAAUGAGCCAGAAACUGAAUACGCACACCGAAUAUACAUGGAAGACUCUGGGAUGAUUUAAUUAGAUGAGAAGGAAAAGAAAGGUGGCAGACCCUUCAAAGCAUUCUAAUGUCAAGUGGUGUUCUUGUUCUUGUUGUUAUCAUUACUCAUUACAUUUAUAUACCACUCUUCAUCCAAAGAUCCCAGGGUGGUUUAUAUCAUACAGUAGUCCACCCCACUGUUGUAACCGUGUAUGUUGAGAACAAUUAGAUUAUAUUUCUUUCAUUGCACCAUGACACAUUGCUUGUACAGUGGUACCUUGGUUCUCAAACUUAAUCCGUUCCAAAACCAAAGCGUUCCAAAACCAAAGCGUUCCAAAACCAAGGCGCACUUGGUCACAGAAAGUAAUGCAAUACAGAUUAAUCCAUUACAGACUUUCAAAAACAACCCCUAAAACAGCAAUUUAACAUGAAUUUUACUAUCUAACGAGACCAGCGAUCCACAAAAUGAAAGCAAUAAACAAUGUUGUCCAAGUUGUUUGAGUACCAAGGUGUUUGAGAACCAAGGUACCACUGUAUUACUGUAAAUAUUUUCCUGAAAGGUACUGUUUUUGUCUGUAUGUUGAUAAUGUUAUUUCUUGCAAAAUGUUUUUGAAAAAACAGCACAGUAGAAUACAGCCCCCAAUCAGGCGCCUUCUUCAGUUCUCUCAUAGCAUCAGAAUAGUGUGUCUGUGCUUUUAUCAUGGAACACAGACAUUGGGUGUGGCUAUUUUCUGCUUCUGGGGUGUGGGUGCGUGUCUCUGUGUGCAUUCGUUUCUGUAGCCAAAACUUCAGGCAUUCCAAGCAUGUGUCUUUUCUUGAGGGAAAUCUUUGUCACUGCCAUGUGUACAGAGAGAUCUGGGUUUUCACCUUCCCAUGCCAUCUGGACUGCAAUUAUUUCUUCAGACCCUAGCCAUUUAAUUUGGUAGUGUAUUUUAUAACUGCUAAUACUCGGUGCUUCUAUAGUUCCCGAGAGAUUCUCUCUUUGCUCAUAGCCUCAAAAAAGGGGGGAGGAAAUUAAAUGCCUUGUAGUUUCUCAACAACUUUAAACAUUAAAAUUGUUCUAGUUUUCUUAAGUAUGGCCAAAGCUGGAAAAAGGAAAAGGAAAACCUUGUAUGCACUUAGCACUAAGAACAGGAUUCCAAAAUCUUCAGGUAGCCUUGUUAGCCAGGCUAACAUUUGUGUUUGCCAAAAUCUCUGCCCCUUCAAUGGACAAGGGUUUUGUCUCUGACAUAUCACACUGUACUUUGAGUCCUAGCACAAAUGUGGGGAAUGUGGACUUGUCUCUCUCCUAGCCCCGUUAUACAACCUUUAGAAGUUCUUGAGAUGUCUCCAGUUCAGUUAUGACUGUCUUCAUCCUUGUCAUGCUAUUCUGAGACACUCAGAAGGCAGUGAAAUAUUGCAUUCUCUUUUUAAGCGCAAGUUGUGAUUUGCCAAGGAAAUUAAGCAUGGCUCGGUUUAUCUCUGCUGCAGUUUAUUUAUGUCCACAUUAUUUUCUAUUUAUGCUACCUUAUUUCACUUUUACGCUGUUAAACUUUGUUUCGGAAUGGCCUGAUGGCUAGAAAUCUCACUGCGCUCUGAUUGAUUUCAAAACCUGGUACAAUGUCAAGUAAAGCCCAAUCCUUCUCUAGGCUCCAGAAAAUGGGACUCUCUCAAGUUGAAAUGUUGUCGGGAGAGUAAACACUGUACUCACAAACACAACUGUGAACCCCUGACCAAGAAGCAGAGCUUUGCUUUUAGAAAGCAAAGUUCUGAAGCGGAGGACAAGUUUAAUGCUAAUGGGUUCUUGUUGAACUGCUGCAUGUGAUUAUCAGUUCAGAAAUGGCACAAUGAUAAAUAGCAGAUCGUGUAUCUCACUGGAUUUGACUAAUGACAUUGCCACUGCAGUACCCUGGCUUCUCUCUUCACAUCAGGCUUGUUUGCUUUUCCAGUUCAUUACAUUUCUUCUGUGUAGCAGUUUUAUGACCCCCUAAGGUCAGUGUGAUACCUGUUAUUAGAAGGAGCAGGGAAGAGAAUGCAAACUAUAGUGUUAAUUUAAGCUGGAAGUCCAUUUUGAUUUCAGUAUUUACUAAUGUUGAGAUUAACUAUUUGGGAGGGGGGGAAUAUACAGUGAUUGCCAAGUUGUGCAUUCAUGGGACUCUGCUACAUUAGUCAAAAGACAGUGUUAUAAAUGCGUUAUAACACUGUGACAUCAGAUGGCGCUGUAGAGCUGAAAUUGCAACUGUCAGCUUUCAGUUGUCAGCUUUACAACUUUUUUUACAAAUCGUUUUCAGAGCGUACUUUAUAGCUGUGUAGAUCUAGCCUUGGUUCAUACACUAUUAGUAGUCGAACAACUUGAAGCAGAUUUAACUUUACUGCGGAGUAUGGGCACACAUCCAAUCAAAAGAUCUUUGCCCAGACAACUAUGUUUACUACAAAGAAUACAAAUUCCAGGCAACUGGGACAAAUAAACAGCCUGAUUUUUUUAAAAAAACAACAACAAAGCAAUGGACCAGAGGUAAUUUGGAUUCAUCAAGAGUUCAACGAAUUGUUGUUGAUUUUGGUAGUUGGACUAUCUUUAUAAAACCAGUGAUUGGUUUCUAGAAGAAAACCAAAGGUAAGAGUCCUACAAGGAGUAAAAGCAUGAUUGGUCAAAUGUUCUGACCAGGAGUCAAAGAAGUAAAUUGGACUUAGAGAUUUAGAGAAUGAGAGAACCCUGAUGGGAGAGGACCUGAAAUCCAGUGGCGACAACUGAGGAGAGCAAGAAGCCAUGCUGUGAGGUGGUAGUGAAAUUUCCAUAGGCAACUUGGUUUUGCAUUAGACCUAUUAUAUAAGAAACGGUAGAGACAUUUUAUCGUUGUUAUAUUUGUUUAGAACAUUUCUGAGCUGUUCCUUGCGAGAUUCCUCAUAAGAAAUCAAAGUUCAGUGUGUGUAUGUGUGUGUGUCUAGUCCUGCCCUUAGUCCCUCUCUGUGGUGAAAUCUAAACAGAGCAGAAUUAAUUUUUGUUUGUCCAGCACUCCCUUUUGAGAUUAACAUUCCUGUCAGUAAUUGUUUUGCAGUACUUGAUUCAAAGGCUACAGUGUUGGCAGUGGCCUCAAAUCAAAUUGCUAUUCGCUUACCUGUGGCAUCAAAACCUACAUUCAAACCAGAUUGUUCUGGUUGUUGAUGGGAUCAGCUGUAGAUGAGUGAAGACUGAAUUUUGCAUAUUGUUUCAAAAAUAACUAGUAAUACCUUUUCAAGUAAAGCAGGAUUGUGGGGUGGGGAUUUGAAAAAGUAAAGAAGCCAAGAGGGUGGAGAAUGAGUGUGGCAAUCACACAGGGUCCCCGGAUGUUUCACCGUCUCUUGAUCCCUGUGCCACCACUUCAUUUCUUGCUGUUACCACCCAGGCCCUACCUGGUAAAAUACUGAGUCCAGUCAGGGUUACAUUGGAACAUCAACUUCUGUUUAUUUAUUGCAGUUUAACAAGCGUGUGGUUUCAUAAACGGUAUCGGUCAAUUAUAAUCAUGGGGUGCCUAUCCAGACCUAUAACUUCCGCUACCUGCUCUCACUCACUAAAACCACCUCUCAGAUGUUUACUUGUCUUCCUAGCUCUGAACUGUUCCUGACUCAGCUUAUUUCACUACACUAACUCAACAUAUCCACAAACUCUAUCCCAAUUCACUCCCACUCCAACUCCCAACGAACUCCUCCCUUCGCCCCUCCCACUGGUGGUUUUAUAGUCCCUCUGACUCCACCCCCCUGGGUUCUGAUUGGGUAACCUGUUUAACUAUUUCACCUCCAGCACUCUCAUAUGUUAACAUCAUAAUGAGCUGCAGAGCUUCACAUGAGGUUUGAAAUAAAUCAGCUUUUCCUUUGACUAGGCCCUCUAGUCCUUUAAGGCUGCAAUCCUAAACAUAGGUAAAGGUAAAGGGACCCCUGACCGUUAAGUUCAGUCACGAACGACUCUGGGGUUGUGGCGCUCAUCUCGCUUUACUGGCCGAGGAAGCCAGUGUUUGUCCACAGACAGCUUCCGGGUCAUGUGGCCAGCAUGACUAAGCCGCUUCUGGUGAACCAGAGCAGCUCACGGAAACGCCGUUUACCUUCCCGCUUAUUUAUCUACCUAUUUAUCUACUUGCACUUUGACGUGCUUUCGAACUGCUAGGUUGGCAGGAGCAAGGACCGAACAACAGGAGCUCACCCAUUGCAGGGAUUCGAACCAUCAACCUUCUGAUCGGCAAGCCCUAGGCUCUGUGGUUUAGACCACAGCGCCACCUGCUUCCCUUACUUACUUACUUACUAGCUAAAAAGUGUCACUGAACUCAGUGUAACUUACUUCUAAGUAAGCAUAAUGAGAUUGUGUUGCACAUGAUUCUAAUUAUUCCCCAUUUAAAUGCUCUCUUUUCUUUAUUUAAUUCCCAUAAAGAGAAUAAUAGGCUGAUUCUUUUUUAGAAGUCAGUCAUUUGAAUGAUUAGUUCAGAAUUUAUAGAGCUGCAAUUGAGAAACUAUUUCUUUUUUUAAAAAAUCUUUUUGUAAUUAAGAAAUAAUAAACCUUAGUUGCACUACUCUUGUAUAUAGCAGACCAAUGUACUGCAGAUAGCAACAUCCAACAAAGCAUAAAGGAUACUAGAAAAAAAUUGCAACACUGUGUUUUGUUGUUGAGCAGAAAUGCCAGAUGUACUAAGAAUAAAGUUUUAAAAAAUGAGAACACACAAUAAAAAUGCUAAAAUGGACAAACAACACAAAAUUUAUUACUGUAUAGUAAAAUUGCAAGACUGCCAUCGUGCUACAAUUUCAAUAGUUGCCAAUAGGUGGCGAUGGCAAAUCCAACAUGACAGCAGCCAUACAACAGGCAGGUGAGCAUGCUGGCAGCAAGUGGCUGAGGUGAGCUGUAUAGAUGAGAGAAGAGGGAAGGGGCUUUGUGCAAAGAGAGGGGGGAGUGGUUGGCCAGGUGUGGGGCAAGGUAGAUUGGCAAGGGGUUGGUAGGUGGGGUUGGCGAGAACAGCAAAUGGGAUGUCAGCCCCUAGUACAUUACCAAAAUAGCACUUGAACUAUGUCAAACAAGCAUAGCUUAGAUGCAGUCUCAAGUUUAUUCAAUUUUAGUACAGUGGUACCUCGGGUUACGAACUUAAUUCGUUCUGGAGGUCCAUUUUUUACCUGAAACUGUGCUUAACCUGAGGCAUGCUUUCGCUAAUGGGGCUUCUCGCUGCUGCCGCGCCACCGGCGCACAAUUUCCAUUUUCAUCCUGGGGCGAAGUUCGUAACCCAAGGUACUACUUCUGGGUUAGCGGAGUUUGUAACCCGAAGCGUUUGUAACCCGAGGUACCACUGUGUAUAACUGUGACAACUGAUGGAGUGAUAUUAUUUGCAUAUUAGUAGGUAGUAUAUAAGAAAUUUGGUUGUGAUUAACCAGCAGCUUACUUGGUUACUUGAGUGAUUAUAUCAGCUUACUUGAGUGAUUAUAUCAAUGUAAUAAUGAAAAUUGGGGGAUAAGGCUGGAGCCAUAUAUUAUUGACGGUUAGCUCCUCCGUAGUCCUGUCUGUUGCUGUGUUGGUUUUCGUUUGUUGCCUAUAAGGCACCUCAGUGGUACCUUGGGUUACAGAUAAGUACCUUCAGGUUACAUACACUUCAGGUUACAGACUCCGCUAACCCAGAAAUAAUACCUCGAGUUAAGAACUUUGCUUCAGGAUGAGAACAGAAAUUGCGUGGCAGCAGCGGGAGGCCCCAUUAGCUAAAGUGGUGCUUCAGGUUAAGAACAGUUCCAGGUUAAGAACAGACUUCCGGAACGAAUUAAGUAUGUAACCAGAGGUACCACUGUAUUGUAAUUCACAACAGGCGUUUAAUCCAUAACGGAGAAACAGCAGGAAUUAUUCCAAGCCUAGCUAUGAACCAAAUGGAAACAUAUUUUGCCUUGUUGACAUUGGAUACUUGAUAGGGUCUGAUCCAUCUCCCCAUUGCUACUCUCCAUCAGCCUACUCCAUGAAAUAGUGGUUGGCUGGAUAAGCAGGUUGGAGAAAAGGGCUUAGAGGCUGAUGGGUGAGCCAGAGGAGGUUGAGUUCUUCUCAGUCAUUAUCUAAACUUGCAUGACUCUUUUAUGACCUUUGCGCCCCCAAAAUGGUUGCUUAAGCCUCUCCUCCUUCCGGAGGGGAGGGAUUGUGAGCGGGAGACGAUUCCCGCAUCAUGCAGGGGGCAUUCUGCCCCCUGCCCUCUCAUCAUUGGUGGCACGCCACGCCUCCCAGUUGGGCACCCAAUCGGGUGCCACCGCGGGGGGCAUGGUUUAGCCGCUCAGAUGCGGCCGUGCCAGCUCCCCCCCCAUUGCUCUUCAGAUUUUCCACGAGUCACCCACCCACCACUCCCACCACUUUAGGGCGUAGCUUCUCGCUCGACCUUGCUAUGGACCCAUGGUUGGUCGCCCUGGUUGCCCAGGGGGCCUGGUAGGAGUUUUUUCCAAUUGGCAAAUUGGCACCGGCCUCUUGGUUUUUUUCGCCUACCUCGUAGCAAUCAUCACAACUUUCUUGGUAUUUGGCGGUUAGGCAUUGGAAUGUGUUGUUGGUGUAUGGAAGGGCAAGGUGUGGCCAUCGCCUACCCCUUCACUUAUGGGUAUUCCGUUAAAGGAAUCAGGCGAUCGUGGAUCCUGUCCGAUACCCUGUGGGGCGGGAGACCAUGGCACGACCCCCGGUGACAUCAGGGGAGAGCUUAUAGUUGUAUUUGCAUCAACAGGCUCCCCCUACUGGUGGUUAACCCCUCAUCAGACUCACCCCUCUCCGAGUGGGUGGAGUCAAAUUUGCUGUGGUCCAAUGCUUAAGCCAAUACCUUCUCACAUGCUGUAAUCAAUAAAAUUGUGGCCUUUUCUUGCCCAUUAACCUAAUAUACUGUGUCCACGUGUCUUCAUUCCCCAAGCGGGGAUCGGGUCAUCGAAUCACAAUGUAAGAUUCUAUGGAAUAUAUAUUUAACAGUUCAAACAGUGAAUAUAACUGAGAAUAUUAGUGUGAACUCCCUAUAUACAAAUAUUCUGUACAGGCACCAUACAAUAGAGAAUACCCUGUAAAAGAGACACCUUAGAACCACCUACACAUGUUCUAGCAACCCUGUGGAAAUUGCUUCAAUUAAAUACUUUGAUUUUAAUAAAAAUGUUCCUAGUAGGUUUCAGAAAUAGCUAUGAGAUCCCCCGGUGGCUUCAAAAUCACCAAUUGGUAUGCAGCUGGUUUUGAAAACAAAUUCGUUCUUCUGAAAACCCUAUUUUUGUAUUGCAGAAAUACAUUACUGUUUGUGUAAUACAAAGUGGGGCUUCGUCAAAAUUGCAUUCUUCAUUUCUUUGGGUUAUUAUAAUCUGAAACAAAAUGCAGAACAACGCAAGUUUAAUUUGAAAGGUUUUAAUCAAGAGAGAGAGAAGUGUUAUUUAGCAAGCAUUUAAGAAAAUCUACAGAUAAACAAGGAUCUUGCUUUGCUGUUGACUUGCCCUCAGUAUUUGAGAAAUGCUUUAUCAUAUGGGCAUGUUUGUGUGCAUCAGAAUUUGCAUUAAUAUUUAUGCUUUUUAGCUCUAUUUUAAAAGGCGGGGAGGGGCAUGGUAACUUGUGUAGCAGGGGUUAGUUAUUGCAUGACUUGCUAUAAUAGCAAGUUUUAAAAUUAAAAAAAACAACAACUAUCCAAUGAACAUGUGUACCUUAUUUUUUGAAAGUGCCAACAUACCUUUAAACAAAUGCUAGCACAUGUCGUAAAAUAUUCAUUUUUUGAGAUUCUUUUUAACCAUUAAAGAGAAAUGAAAACCUGCAGGUUUGGCCUACAAAGCCGCCCCAAAAUUGGUUCAAAUACAUACCUGAUAUAAUACAUGGGCCAAGGAUGUGGAGCGCUUGUGUGUGUGUGUGUGUGUGUGUGUGUGUGCAGUUGCCGUUCAGUUUCCUAUUGUGUGGUAUGUGAAGGGUGUCUGAGUGAAAGAUCCUAACUACCAAACCAAAUCCAUUGCUUGGAAAUAAGUUUACUGAAUUGCAUCGGGUCUUUCUUCCAUUCAGGAUCAUGGUGUAAAUACUGCAGUUCAGCAAAUAACCAAUUUGCUGCUGAAAAAUACAUGGUUAGUUUUAGGGAAAGCUGCUGUUGAUGUUUUCGUGGGAUAUCUAGCUUCACUGCAGAUAGUGGUGUAGCCAUCAUUCCUCUCUUUACAUGGGUCCCUCAGAAGUUUUAUUGUCUAAUGUUUGGGAUGUAAAGCUCAGCACCUGGGGAAUUUGAUAUUUCAUGAGGGAUGCUGUUGGCUUUUGAAGGUAUCUGGUGCUGACUGACUGCUGACAGAAGGGAAUCCAUCCGAGGAACAGGGAAGGAGGUAAUUAUUGGCGCGUGCGUGCGUGCGCGCGCACACACACACACACACACCAUGCCUCCUACAGCAUCCUGCAGCUCCAUCUCAAAGCAGUCCCUCAAUUCUCCAAACCAGACUUAGAGUUGUGGGGGAUCACCAAAAUAAUAUUAAUAUUAAUAUUAUUAUUAAUAAUAAUAAUUGUUAAGUUGUGGGUGAACAUAUCAGACGACACAGCGAUUCUUCAAACAGCUCUUGUUUAUUCAGAGGCCAGAACAGAACUGAACUGAAGGGCUCAGUCAGCCUACUUAUAUAGAGCUCCAGUACAACGUUACUGUAGCAACUUUCUAAAACUAUCCAAUCACUGAACGUCACUUUCGAUCCUUCAUUUGCAUAAAAACUAUCCAAUCACUGAACGUCACUUUCGAUCCUUCAUUUGCAUAACUAUCUACAGUAUCCCCCUGCUGGCCCAGUGAGAACUUCAGUACAUAACAACAACAACAACAAUAAUAAUAAAUGCUAAUUGAAUGCUGUAAUUGCUCAAGAAGACAGCUCUUACCCUGGUCAGAAAGAGGAAGGAGAGGGUCACAAUAAAUGGAUCGUUUCAGCAGUUGUUAAACACGAAGCCACCAGUGUCAUGUGAGAAGAAUAUAGUGGUAGCAGUUUAUUUAUUUCAGUGGGUUUGUAAUCUUAACAAAAUAAAUACAUACAUACAUACAUACACACAUACAUACAUACAUACUUCAAUUUAUUUGCCUCUCCACAGUUCAAACACUGCUCAAGGCGGCUGACAGCAUAAAAAGAAUACAUAACUACAACAUAACAAAAGUGGACACAGACAGUAAAUUAAUCAUUAAAAAAGUACAAAACCAUGCUGGACAAUUUCCACAUGAAUCACAACAAAAUCUAAAAUAAAGAUACAAAAAAGAAACAGCAACACCUGUCCCUCCUAAACAAAACCCCACUCUGCAUAGAAAGAUCUUACCCAUCUGGUAUGGGCACCAUAAAAUAUUUAGAAAAUUCUUCAUGGAAAGGUUAUUUGUUUUCUAAAAAGGGGAAAUGGGUGAACCUUCUGGUAACUCGAGGCAAAAACUAUUGACGUUGGCGAUUCUUUAGCAGUAUUGGUUUGCUGUACAAGCAGAGACAAUACAAAAAUACAGAUUUUGAUGCACCUGUUAGUGCAGAUAUUAAUUUUUCCAUAUGAACAAUGAUCUUUCAAUCCCAGCAGCUUAAGGUUUCUAAAUCUAGCAACCCUUUGAUUGUAAGCUACAGGAUUUGUGUAGUGUUGCUGUAAUGUUAUACUGAUUCAAAAGAUCAAGUGAGAGAAGCCAAAAUAGAAAGGCUGGGGAGGGGACAGGUAUAAAUGAUGUUUUCUUGCUAAAUGUAUAUACGUCAACCAGGAAAAUAUCACAAUAACCAACCCAGUUUUUUGCCUUCAGCCUGUCUGAGGUCAUGUGGGUUGGAGUCUGACCACUAGUCCAAAAAGGAAAGGCUGUUUGCAAGAGUUCUGCGGUGUGUUUUCCUGGAAAAGGUGAGAGGAUAAAAGCAGAACUCUCAAAUAAACCUCGUGCCCUAUGUGAGACUUUAUACACAGACCUUUUGUUUAACUGCUGGAGGCAGAUGUUCUUUUCAUUUACCUCUCAAAUUGGUAGGUUAAAAAACAAAUAAAUUUCAUGCUCUGCUUGAAUGAAGUGAAAGUAAUCCUGUUGUUCUCUGUUUUGCUUGCUAGUGUUUGCUGGUUAAUAUUUUCUUGACCGUCAAUAGUAAACAUUCUAAAUAUUGAGGAAACGUGAUAAUACCAAAGGAAUUAUUGCUUUACUGUUUAGAAUUCGGGUUUGCAUGACACAGCUGUAAUCUACCGUUAUGCUGAGGUAGAUUCUAUAAACUGAGGGGGAAUGCUUUUUUAAAAAAGCAAGCCUUGCUUCAUUAGUGUUCCAGUAAUCAGUUCUUUUAAUUUUCUAAUAUCUAUAUGGUUUUUUUGGUUCUACCUUGUGUAUAUGCAUUUUAAAAUGUUUCUUGUCUGCUUCCCUACAAUCUUUUAUCUGUUUUUAAUAAAAUAGGUUAUAUUUUGCCUUUAUUUUACAGUAAUUUCUAUUGUUGUUUUUUUAUUUAUUAGCUUCCUCCUUUUAAAAAUCGAUAUCUAAUUAUAUUGAUCAUAAAUACCUGUUUAGUGAUGGUAUCACUAGAGGGCAGUAUUGAUUAAAUUAGUCUACUGAAUAAUCAGAACAUGACCUUGCAUCUUAAACAGAAAACACCUGUUAUAAAUCAUAUUUAUUCACUGCGCUGUACUAUACUGUGUCUGAAUGAGGCUGCAUUUCAGAGUAUUGUGUGUACAAUAUGUUAAGAGCUUCCAUUCUUUUUUCUGAAAAUGUUUAUUGAACUUUCUUUACCCAGUUAAGGCCAAGACAAAUAUUUUAUAUUUUUGGAGGUGAUGGCAGUGGAGAUCAGUAAAUAGCCGGCACUAGUCUAAAACGUCUGUUGAUCAAGUUUGCGGUUAAGAUAUGUACUCAUUUGUUCUUAUUGACUUGCAGGUCUCCUGACAAAUGCAUCAACAGAGAAGCCUUGUAGGAGUUUUUAAGCUCUGCGUGGGCUACAUUCCCUAGUCAAGUUUCACGGCUGUGGAUCAUCCAUUAUAUGUCAUCAACUCAACUGUCUGUUUCUCUGUAUUUCAUCAAAGACAGCAUAAUUCUACGUUAUGAGCUAAAGUCUGUUCUACCAUACUAAAGAGCACUGGACUAAGGAAGAGAGAGAGAUAAAUGCUUGGGCAUUAGCAAUACGAAAACAAAACAAAACACCAGUUCACAGUUAACGUCUCAUCUGCGUUUUGCGCCACUGCUGAACUUGAUCUGUGGUCAUGUUUCAACGGGACGAGUCAACUACACUGGAGAGUAUUCAUCCCAAUCAGCCUUAGAGAAGACUGUUUUGUCUACGGGAGGACACUAAGGUGCAGAAGGCAAUUUCUUCUUGUGCCCUAGACUGCCUAAUUGCUUUUAUUUUCUUAUGUUUCAGUAUAUACAAUAGACCAAAGAGCAAAAUCUAUUUUAAAGUGGACACGAUGUUACUGUUAACAAGGUUAUUUGGGUUCAGUAGUAUGGGGACCACCUUGCACGGAUUCAACUCGCCCAGUGCUGCAAUAUUGCCGUCCAGCAAAAGUCCUUGUGGAACACUGCAGAAAAGGCUGGAACUGCUCUUGGGGAAAGGUACACGGAAAAACACGAGGGAACAAGGAGGGGAAACGGCCGUUCUUCAACAAGAAAACAGAACUUUGAUCAAAAACAACACAAACUGUCUACGCACCACCUUUACUCCUCUGUGCUUAGAUUGACUUCUCGUACUAAAAAUCAUUUUGAGUUUAACCAGUUCAACAUGCCUCUUCUAUGGUUCCAUUUUUUGAUCGUUAAAAGUUGGAUAAUACAGUAUUUGCAAAGAGCAUGUUUGGUCAUCUGUGGCCUAUGUCUCAUCUGAUACACCAUUUAGCACCAGAAAGCAA